rnacentral:lncRNA from 1 species
GUCUGGGGUUCUACUUUAAAGUCGUGGUCGUGGACAAUUUGGGAUUUAUUAAGCCAUGUUUUGGGAAUUUUUGUAGUUGCUAGGCUGUGGUUCUAUGUGCUGAGGAGGGAGGCGCUGCUGCUCAUGUUGCUGUUGCUGGAGUCCUCACUUUAUUUGUUAAGACUAUGUAAUGACCGAAUGAUGUUAUUUGUUUGUGUCAUCCUUGACUCUUUACCUACCGCAUGUAAUCCUGCAAUCGGUACUAGUAAUGUUAUCGUUAUUAAAAACUGUUUACUCUUUUUUUAGCAAUAACCUCUGCUUAUUAGUCAAGGAGUAGUUAUCUACUUGUGAUCGUUCGCAUAUCUAGUUUGCCGUAUUACUCGGGUAUCAGGAUAUGGCAUCUGCAGUGCUUUCUGAAAUUCCCAUUCUCAGUACUGAGUGAAACUAAGAUACUGGGUUACCUGUAAAUCCUGUCAGUGUAACGUGAAAAUUUGCAUCCUCCCAGAGAUUGGGAAAGAGUAAAUAAUGGUGAAUGUUAUCCCAGUUGUUAGGACGGAGCUCAUCAGAUGCUCAUCAGAUCUGUCCCAUUCGCUUCGUAACCCCCUCCCCUUCCACAACCGUCAACUAACGGCCAGCACACCACGCCANNNNNNNNNNNNNNNNNNNNNNNNNNNNNNNNNNNNNNNNNNNNNNNNNNNNNNNNNNNNNNNNNNNNNNNNNNNNNNNNNNNNNNNNNNNNNNNNNNNNNNNNNNNNNNNNNNNNNNNNNNNNNNNNNNNNNNNNNNNNNNNNNNNNNNNNNNNNNNNNNNNNNNNNNNNNNNNNNNNNNNNNNNNNNNNNNNNNNNNNNNNNNNNNNNNNNNNNNNNNNNNNNNNNNNNNNNNNNNNNNNNNNNNNNNNUGAAUAUUUUUGCAAGUUUUAGUGCAUCUUUCUUUUUUAAAUUUUUAUCACAACAAAGAAUACAAUAUAAUAUAUAUUUAAGAGCCUUAAAUAGAAUUUUUUUGCAAGUUUUAGUGCAUCUUUCUUUUUUAAAAUUUUAUCACAACAAAGAAUACAAUAUAAUAUAUUUAAGAGCCUUAAAUAUGCAGAGCUCACACAAUAUAACAUGUAUCACACUCGAGUAGUUUCACAUAGUUUCACAAAUAGCAAAAUAUGCAAAGCUCACAUAUUAAUAAAGGUUGAACUAAUAGACAUGUCAUACAUAGCAAAUAGCAAACGGUUCCACAUAGUUUCACAAAUAGCAAAUAGCAAACUUGUCCACAUAGUUUGACAACCCCAACUAAUGCAAGUAGUUUCGCAAACAGUUUCACAAAGCCAACAAACGGUUCCACAUAGUUUCUCUCCAACUAACACAAGUAGGCUAACAAGCCAAGACCACAAUUACAUGCUUCUUCCUCUCUUGGAGGUACGGUCCUCGUUCUUCUUUGAACGAGUCUCUUCAGGCUUCUUCUCGCGCCCUCCUCGAGGAAUCGGUUUUUGGAAUGGGGAUGGACUCUGCAAAUCCUUCUUUGGCUGAUUUCUCUUCAGAAGCUGAGAUGGUUGAGUUGGUGGAGGUCCGUAAUCUUCAUCGUACUCCUCCCCAUUGCUCUCCUCCUCCUCCUCAACCAACCUAGCCGAAGAGGCAGCAUGGCUUGAUGAAGCAAUGUUACCUUGUGUGGCUGCAGGAUCAUGAGCUUCAACCGAGCCAGCACACUCAAGCAGGCCUACCAGCUUGCGACAAUGCUUGACGAACUUCUGCAGUCACAAUGAAACAAGGACAUAAUACUGAUCAGAUUUAUGAUUGCAAAUGAACAAGAACAUAGGUUAUUUCUAGGCGCCUGAAAUAUUACCUUCACCGUCUCCCUCAUGAUAUUCUCAGAAUCUCCGUUCCCUGGGGGACGACCUAGUGCAUUCGAGCCAUCGAAGAUGCAUCUGCUCAGCUCGCCGGACUGUAAAAGCAAUGAGUCACAAUGACGAAUAAAAUAAAUUACAUACAACCGCCGGUUCAAGACAGAAGAACACAACUUACCACUCUAUUGACCAGGGGUGCAAACUCCCUAAAUCCACUCAUGUCUCUGAUGCUGGCCUGGUAGGCCUCUUCCUCGGGGGCAUCCAUCUCCAGCUCUGCGAUAUCUUCUGUCGUCCACCUAGGCCUGAGACGAAGACGAUGCUUCUGGCCAUCAUCGUACCACCUCAUGUGUUGGGCGUAAUCAUCCCAGUCAAUCACUCGCCUCUCCCCAUCUUUAUGCCACCUGCGCCGGUUCCACUCUGUCACAAAAGUUUUAUGCUGCUCUCCCCAUGCUGUGAUCAACUGAUUUUUCUUCCGGCUCAUCCUACAAGGCAUAAACAACACAAAACAUCAUAAGAAGGUCAAACGCAACGAAAUCAUGGUAACGGAGAACAAUGCACUCACAAGUGGAGUUCGUGGCCACCGGUAUCGUUCGACAUGCCCGGUGGUGUAUGCUGGUAGAUCCCAAACUGCGCGGCCACGCGGUGUGGCAAGUGCCACUCAACGACGUACACACAUAGCAUGGGCACCAUGCACCGCCAAAGACCGCGAUCCUCCUCGCACAUCACGUUCAGCUCGAUGAGAAGGUACCACAGGUAGGCCCUCGCGUAUUGCUCCACCAUACCCUCAUCGGCAUUUACGGGGCAUUUCUUUCGGUUGUUCAGGAGCCAGGGCAGCGAUACACCGGAUGUCCGGUUACCUUAGCGUCGGGGUAGUCACCGAUGAGGGUGGUAACCCUCUGCUGCCAUUUUGAACAAACAUGAAACAUAUCAAGUCCAAAUAUAAAUGAAUCAUAUUCAACCGACAUGAAUCAUAUCAUUUUCAUCAAUUAUAACUUAUUCAACCAACAUUCAUCAAUUAUCAUAUAUUCAACCAAUAUAAAUGAUCAAUGCGAAUGAAUCAUAUUCAACCAACAUCUUUCAUUCAACAACCAUCACUCAUGCACUUGUUUAUUCAACAUUGCUAAAAAAUGCAUAUACAUAAUUCACCAAAAUCCAUCAUAUGACCAUUUGUUCAAAAAAUAUGCAUAUACAUAAUUCAAUCGUAUGUAGGCAACUACUUACAAUCCCUCCAACAUCAAUCAUGUGACCAUUUGUUCAAAACAAAUCUGAAUCUCCAACUAGGGUUCAUAUAAAAACUAGGGUUCGUAUAAAAACUACAUAUAAUCUCCACAACUAUUCCCUCUAAAUAUAAGUCUUUCGAGAGAUUUCAAUAUGGACUACAUACAGAGCAAAAUGAGUGAAUCUACACUCUAAACUAUGUCUAUAUACAUAUGUAUGUAGUCCAUAUUGAAAUCUCUACAAAGACUUAUAUUUAGGAACGAAGGGAGUAGUUAUUAGAGUUCAUAUUGAACCCUAUACACAUCAUAUACAAUGAACCUAAGCAAUCCUAAGAUAAAAAAGUAAGACAAUAGGGUUGUUUUGCACCAAAUAAUGCAUCGAAUUGAAAAUGUUUCGAGUAAAACUAAUUGGAGGGAUUGAUAGAGCUUACUUUUCCCGUUUCGGAGCCAUCUCGAUCCGCAAAAAUGGUGGCAAAACGAAGAAGAUCGAAGGGGGGAGUGGAGUGGAUGAGAGAGGGCUUGUGCUCUCUGUUCUUGCAGCGCUGCAUGGUUGGGGAGAAGAAGAUGGGGGCUGGUUGGUGGGUGGGCCCCACGUGCCUCCCCACGCGGGCUUAUAAGGAUUCAGCCCCUACCGCCAUGGUCUAUGACCGUAGGGUUGCAUAGCCUACUGCCGUUAGCUCUCGCGGUAGGGUGGACGGCAGGAGACGGUUUCGUUUACUUGAGGCUGACGUGGAUGAGUGGCCUACCGCCAUACCCUGUGGUGGUAGUGAAGGAAAUAUGCCCUAGAGGCAAUAAUAAAGUUAUUAUUUAUUUCCUUAUUUCAUGAUAAAUGCUUAUUAUUCAUGCUAGAAUUGUAUUAACCGGAAACUUAGUACAUGUGUGAAUACAUAGACAAACAGAGUGUCACUAGUAUGCCUCUACUUGACUAGCUCGUUAAUCAAAGAUGGUUAAGUUUCCUAGCCAUAGACAUGAGUUGUCAUUUGAUGAACGGGAUCACACCAUUAGAGAAUGAUGUGAUUGACUUGACCCAUCCAUUAGCUUAGCACGAUGAUCGUUUAGUUUGUUGCUAUUGCUUUCUUCAUGACUUAUACAUGUUCCUAUGACUUAUGCAGCUCCCGAAUACCGGAGGAACACUUUGUGUGCUAUCAAACGUCACAACGUAACUGGGUGAUUAUAAAGAUGCUCUAUAGGUGUCUCCGAUGGUGUUUGUUGAGUUGGCAUAGAUCGAGAUUAGGAUUUGUCACUCCGUGUUUCGGAGAGGUAUCUCUGGGCCCUCUCGGUAAUGCACAUCACUAUAAGCCUUGCAAGCAAUGUGACUAAUGAGUUAGUUGCGGGGUGAUGCAUUACGGAACGAGUAAAGAGACUUGCGGGUAACGAGAUUGAACUAGGUAUUGAGAUACCGACGAUCGAAUCUCGGGCAAGUAACAUACCGAUGACAAAGGGAACAACGUAUGUUGUUAUGCGGUUUGACCGAUAAAGAUCUUCGUAGAAUAUGUAGGAACCAAUAUAUAUGAGCGUCCAGGUUCCGCUAUUGGCUAUUGACCGGAGAUGAGUCUCGGUCAUGUCUACAUAGUUCUCGAACCUGUAGGGUCCGCACGCUUAACAUUCGGUGACGAUCGGUAUUAUGAGUUUAUGUGUUUUGAUGUACCGAAGGUUGUUCGGAGUCCCGGAUGUGAUCACGGACAUGACGAGGAGUCUCGAAAUGGUUGAGACAUAAAGAUUGAUAUAUUGGACAACUAUGUUUGGACUUCGGAAUGGUUCCGGGUGAAAUCGGGAUUUUACCGGAGUACCGGGAGGUUACCGGAACCCCCCGGUAAGUGUAUGGGCCUUAUUGGGCCUUAGUGGAAUAGAGGAGGAGGAAGCCUAGGUGGGGGCGCGCCCCCCCAAGCCCAAUCCGAAUUGGGUGAGGGGGCCGGCCCCCCUUUCNNNNNNNNNNNNNNNNNNNNNNNNNNNNNNNNNNNNNNNNNNNNNNNNNNNNNNNNNNNNNNNNNNNNNNNNNNNNNNNNNNNNNNNNNNNNNNNNNNNNNNNNNNNNNNNNNNNNNNNNNNNNNNNNNNNNNNNNNNNNNNNNNNNNNNNNNNNNNNNNNNNNNNNNNNNNNNNNNNNNNNNNNNNNNNNNNNNNNNNNNNNNNNNNNNNNNNNNNNNNNNNNNNNNNNNNNNNNNNNNNNNNNNNNNNNNNNNNNNNNNNNNNNNNNNNNNNNNNNNNNNNNNNNNNNNNNNNNNNNNNNNNNNNNNNNNNNNNNNNNNNNNNNNNNNNNNNNNNNNNNNNNNNNNNNNNNNNNNNNNNNNNNNNNNNNNNNNNNNNNNNNNNNNNNNNNNNNNNNNNNNNGGCACCCCAUAGACACACAAGUUGAUCAUUGAUCUCUUAGCCGUGUGCGGUGCCCCCCUCCACCAUAAUCCACCUCGGUCAUAUCGUAGCGGUGCUUAGGCGAAACCCUGCGUUGGUAACUUCAUCAUCACCGUCAUCACGCCGUCGUGCUGACGAAGCUCUCCCUCGAAACUCUACUGGAUCGUGAGUUCGUGGGACGUCGCCGAGCUGAACGUGUGCAGUCCGCGGAGGUGACGUACCUUCGGUGCUAGGAUCGGUCGAUCGUGAAGACGUACGACUACAUCAACCGCGUUAUCAUAACGCUUCCGCUUACGGUCUACGAGGGUACGUUGACAACACUCUCCCCUCUGGUUGCUAUGCAUCACCAUGAUCUUGCGUGUGCGUAGGAAAAUUUUGAAAUUACUACGUUCCCCAACAGUGGCAUCCGAGCCAGGUUUAUGCGUAGAUGUUGUAUGCACGAGUAGAACACAAGUGAGUUGUGGGCGAUACUAGUCAUACUGCUUACCAGCAUGUCAUACUUUGAUUCGGCGGUAUUGUUGGAUGAAGCGGCCCGGACCGACAUUACGCAUACGCUUAUGCGAGACUGGUUCUACCGACGUGCUUCGCACACAGGUGGCUGGCGGGUGUCAGUUUCUCCAAGUUUAGUUGAAUCGAGUGUGGCUACGCCUGGUCCUUGUUGAAGGUUAAAACAGCACAUACUUGACGAAAUAUCGUUGUGGUUUUUGAUGCGUAGGUAAGAACGGUUCUUGCUUAGCCCGUAGCAGCCACAUAAAACUUGCAACAACAAAGUAGAGGACGUCUAACUUGUUUUUGCAGGGCAUGUUGUGAUGUGAUAUCUUCAAGGAAUGAUGCUAUAUUUUAUUGUAUGAGAUGAUGAUGUUUUGUAACGGAGUUAUCGGCAACUGACAGGAGCCAUAUGGUUGUCGCUUUAUUGUAUGCAAUGCAAUCGCCCUAUAAUUGCUUUACUUUAUCACAAAGCGGUAGCGAUAGUCGUAGAAGCAAUAGUCGGCGAGACGACAAAGAUGCUACGACGGAGAUCAAUGUGUCGCGCCGGUGACGAUGGUGAUCAUGACGGUGCUUUGGAGAUGGAGAUCAAAGGAACAAGAUGAUGAUGGCCAUAUCAUAUCACUUGUAUUGAUUGCAUGUGAUGUUUAUCCUUUAUGCAUCUUAUUCUGCUUUGAUUGACGGUAGCAUUAUAAGAUGAUCUCUCACAAAAAUUCAAGGUACAAGUGUUCUCCCUGAGUAUGCACCGUUGCCAAAGUUCGUCGUGCCGAGACACCACGUGAUGAUCGGGUGUGAUAAGCUCAACGUUCUUAUACAACGGGUGUAAGCCAGUUUUGCACACGCAGAAAUACUCAGGUUAAACUUGACGAGCCUAGCAUAUGCAGAUAUGGCCUCGGAACACUGGAGACCGAAAGGUCGAGCGUGAAUCAUAUAGUAGAUAUGAUCAACAUAGUGAUGUUCACCAUUUAAAACUACUCCAUCUCACGUGAUGAUCGGACAUGGUUUAGUUGAUUCACGUGAUCAUUUAGAUGACUAGAGGGAUGUCUAUCUAAGUGGGAGUUCUUAAGUAAUAUGAUUAAUUGAACUUAUUUAUCAUGAACUUAGUCCUGGUAGUAUUAGCAUAUCUAUGUUGUAGAUCAAUAGCUCGCGUUUAGCUCCCCUGUUUUAUUUUUGAUAUGUUCCUAGAGAAAACUAAGUUGAAGAUGUUAGUAGCAAUGAUGCGGAUUGGAUCUGUGAUCUGAGGAUUAUCCUCAUUGUUGCACAGAAGAAUUAUGUCCUUGAUGCACCGCCAAGUGAUAGACCGAUUGCAGGAGCAAAUGCAGACGUUAUGAACGUUUGGCAAGAUCGAUAUGAUGACUACUUGAUAGUUUAGUACACCAUGCUUUACGGCUUAGAAUCGGGGCUUCAAAGACGUUUUUGAAACGCCACGGAGCAUAUGAGAUGUUCCAAGAGUUGGAAUUAGUAUUUCAGACUCAUGCCCAUGUCGAAAGGUAUGAGACCUUUGACAAGUACUUUGCCUACAAGAUGGAGGAGAAUAGCUCAGCCAGUGAGCAUGUGCUCAGAAUGUCUGAGUACUACAAUCACUUGAAUCAAGUGGGAGUUAAUCUUCCAGAUAAGAUAGUGAUUGACAGAGUUCUCUAGUCACUAUCACCAAGUUACUAGAACUUUGUGAUGAACUAUAAUAUGCAAGGGAUAACAGAAACGAUUCCCAAGCUCUUCUUGAUGUUGAAAUCGACGAAGGUAGAAAUCAAGAAAAACAUCAAGUGUUGAUGGUUGACAAGACCACUAGUUUCAAGAAAAGGGCAAAGGGAAGAAGGGGAACUUCAAGAAGAACGGCUAGCAAGUUGCUGCUCAAGUGAAGAAGCCCAAGUCUGGACCUAAGCCUGAGACUGAGUGCUUCUACUGCAAUGGAAAUGGUCACUGGAAGUGGAACUACCCUAGAUACUUGGCGGAUAAGAAGGAUGGCAAGGUGAACAAAGGUAUAUUUGAUAUACAUGAUAUUUAUGUGUACUUUACUAGUGUUUAUAGCAACCCCUCGGUAUUUGAUACUGGUUCAGUUGCUAAGAGUAGUAACUCGAAACGGGAGUUGCAGAAUGAACAGAAACUAGUUAAGGGUGAAGUGACGAUGUGUGUUGGAAGUAGUUCCAAGAUUGAUAUGAUCAUCAUCGCACACUCCCUAUACUUUCGGGAUUAGUGUUGAACCUAAAUAAAUGUUAUUUGGUGUUUUGCGUUGAGCAUGAAUAUGAUUUGAUCAUGUUUAUUGCAAUACGGUUAUUCAUUUAAGUUAGAGAAUAAUUGUUGUUCUAUUUACAUGAAUAAAACUUUCUAUGGUCAUACACCCAAUGAAAAUGGUUUGUUGGAUCUCGAUCGUAGUGAUACACAUAUUCAUAAUAUUGAAGCCAAAAGAUGCAAAGUUAAUAAUGAUAGUGCAACUUAUUUGUGGCACUGCCGUUUUGGUCAUAUUGGUAUAAAACGCAUGAAGAAACCCCAUGCUAAUGGGCUUUUGGAAUCACUUGAUUAUGAAUCACUUGAUGCUUGCGAACCAUGCCUCAUGGGCAAGAUGACUAAAGACUCCGUUCUCUGGAACAAUGGAGCGAGCAACUGACUUAUUGGAAAUAAUACAUACUGAUGUAUGCGGUCCGAUGAGUGUUAAGGCUCGCGGCGGGUAUCGUUAUUUUCUGACCUUCACAGAUGAUUUGAGCAGAUAUGGGAAUAUCUACUUGAUGAAACACAAGUCUGAAACAUUUGAAAAGUUCAAAGAAUUUCAGAGUGAAGUGGAGAAUCAUCGUAACAAGAAAAUAAUAGUUUCUACGAUAUGAUCGCGGAGGUAAAAUAUUUGAGUUACGAGUUUGGUCUUCAGUUAAAACAAUGUGAAAUAGUUUCACUACUCACGCCACCUGGAACACCACAGUGUAAUGGUGUGUCCGAACGUCGUAAUUGUACUUUAUUAGAUAUGGUGCGAUCUCUGAUGUCUCUUACCAAUCUACCACUAUCGUUUUGGGGUUAUGCAUUAGAGACAACUACAUUCACGUUAAAUAGGGCACCGUCUAAAUCCGUGGAGUUGACACCGUAUGAACUGUGGUUUGGCGAGAAACCUAAGCUGUCGUUUCUUAAAGUUUGGGACUGCGAUGCUUAUGUAAAAAAGUUUCAACAUGAUAAGCUCGAACCCAAAUCGGAGAAGUAAAUCUUCAUAGGAUACCCAAAAAGAAACUAUUGGGUACACCUUCUAUCACAGUUCCGAAGGCAAGAUCUUUGUUGCUAAGAAUGGAUCCUUUCCAGAGAAGGAGUUUCUCUCAAAAGAAGUGAGUGGGAGGAAAGUAGAACUUGAUGAGGUAACUGUACCUUCUCCCGAAUUGGAAAGUUGUUCAUCACAGAAAUCAGUUCCAGUGAUGCCUACACCAAUUAGUGAGGAAGUUAAUGAUGAUGAUCAUGAAACUUCAGAUCAAGUUACUACCGAACCUCGUAGGUCAACCAGAGUAAGAUCCGCACCAGAGUGGUACGGUAAUCCUGUUCUGGAGGUCAUGUUACUUGACCAUGACGAACCUACGAACUAUGAGGAAGCGAUGAUGAGCCCAGAUUCCGCGAAAUGGUUUAAGGCCAUGAAAUCUGAGAUAUGAUCCAUGUAUGAGAGAAAGUAUGGACUUUGAUUGACUUGCCUGAUGAUCGGUGAGCCAUUAAGAAUAAAUGGAUAUUCAAGAGGAAGACGGAUGUUGAUAGUAGUGUUACUAUCUACAAAGCUCGAAUUGUCGCAAAAGGUUUUCGACAAGUUCAAGGUGUUGUCUAUGAUGAGAUUUUCUCACUCGUAUCGAUGCUUAAGUCUGUCCGAAUCAUGUUAGCAAUUGCCGCAUUUUAUGAAAUCUGGCAAAUGGAUAAACAAAAUUGCAUUCCUUAAUGGAUUUAUUAAAGAAGAGUUGUAUAUGAUACAACCAGAAGGUUUUGUCAAUCCUAAAGGUGCUAACAAAGUAUGCAAGCUCCAGCGAUCCAUCUAUGGACUGGUGCAAGCAUCUCGGAGUUGGCAUAUACGCUUUGAUAAGUUGAUCAAAGCAUAUAGCUUUAUACAGACUUGCGGUGAAGCCUGUAUUUACAAGAAAGUGAGUGGGAGCACUACAGCCUUUCUGAUAAGUAUAUGUGAAUGACAUAUGGUUGAUUGGAAAAGAUGUAGAGUUUUCUGGAAAGCAUAAAGGAGUGUUUGAAAGGAGUUUUUCAACGAAAGACCUCGGUGAAGCUUCUUACACAUUGAGCAUCAAGAUCUAUAGAGAUAGAUCAAGAACGCCUGAUAAGUUUUUUCAAUGAGUACAUACCUUGACAAGUUUUUGAAGUAGUUCAAAAUGGAACAGUCAAAGAAAGAGUUCUUGCCUGUGUUGCAAGGUGUGAAGUUGAGUAAGACUCAAAACCCGACCACGACAGAAGAUAGAGAGAGAAUGAGAGUCAUUCCCUAUGCCUCAGCCAUAGGUUCUAUAAAGUAUGCCGUGCUGUGUACCAUACCUAUUGUAUACCCUGCCCUGAGUUUGGCAAGGGAGUACAAUAGUGAUCUAGGAGUAGAUCACUGGACAUUGGUCAAAAUUAUCCUUAGAGGACUAAGGAAAUAUUUCUCGGUUAUGGAGGUGAUAAAGAGUUCAUCGUAAAGAGUUACAUCGAUGCAAGCUUUGACACUGAUCUGGAUGACUCUGAGUCUUGAUCUGGAUACAUAUUGAAAGUGGGAGCAUUUGGCUAGAGUAGCUCCGUGCAGAGCAUUGUAGACAUAGAAAUUUGCAAAUUACAUACGGAUCUGAAUGUGACAGACCCGUUGACUAAACUUCUCUCACAAGAUAAACAUGAUCACACCUUAGUACUCUUCGGGUGUUAAUCACAUAGCGAUGUGAACUAGAUUAUUGACUCUAGUAAACCCUUUCGGUAUUGGUCACAUGACGAUGUGAACUAUGGGUGUUAAUCACAUGGUGAUGUGAACUAUUGGUGUUAAAUCACAUGAGGAUGUGAACUAGAUUAUUGACUCUAGUGCAAGUGGGAGACUGAAGGAAAUAUGCCCUAGAGGCAAUAAUAAAGUUAUUAUUUAUUUCCAUAUUUCAUGAUAAAAUGUUUAUUAUUCAUGCUAGAAUUGUAUUAACCGGAAACUUAGUACAUGUGUGAAUACAUAGACAAACAGAGUGUCACUAGUAUGCCUCUACUUGACUAGCUCGUUAAUCAAAGAUGGUUAAGUUUCCUAGCCAUAGACAUGAGUUGUCAUUUGAUGAACGGGAUCACAUCAUUAGAGAAUGAUGUGAUUGACUUGACCCAUCCAUUAUCUUAGCACGAUGAUCGUUUAGUUUGUUGCUAUUGCUUUCUGUUGGGAAUCGUAGCAUAAUUUUAAAAUUUUCCUACGCUCACCAAGAUGCAUCUAUGGAGUAUACUAGCAACGAGGGGAAAGGAGUGCAUCUACAUACCCUUGUAGAUCGCGAGCGGAAGCGUUCCAAUGAACGUGGAUGACGGAGUCGUACUCGCCGUGAUCCAAAUGCGUUCAACACACGUACGGUGCAGCGACGUCUCCUCCUUCUUGAUCCAGCAAGGGGGAAGGAGAGGUUGAUGGAGAUCCAGCAGCACGACGGCGUGGUGGUGGAUGUAGCGGGAUGCCGGCAGGGCUUCGCCGACCAUAUACGAGAGAGAGAGGUGUUGCAGGGGGAGAGGGAGGCGCCCAAGGCUGUAAUGCUACUGCCCUCCCUCCCCCCCUUUAUAUAGGCCCCCUGGGAGGGGGGGCGCUGGCCAGAACCCAUCUAGGGUGGGGGGGGCGGCGGCCAGGGGGGUAACUUACCCCCCAAGGCAAGUGGGAAGCCCCCCCACCCUAGGGUUCCCAACCCUAGGCGCAUGGGGGGAGGCCCAUGGGGGGGCGCCCAACCCACUAGGGGCUGGUUCCCUUCCCACUUCAGCCCACGGGGCCCUCCGGGAUAGGUGGCCCCACCCGGUGGACCCCUGGGACCCUUCCGGUGGUCCCGGUACAAUACCGGUAACCCCCGAAACUUUCCCGGUGGCCGAAACUUGACUUCCUAUAUAUAAUUCUUUACCUCCGGACCAUUCCGGAACUCCUCGUGACGUCCGGGAUCUCAUCCGGGACUCCUAACAACUUUCGGGUUUCCGCAUACACAUAUCUCUACAACCCUAGCGUCACCGAACCUUAAGUGUGUAGACCCUACGGGUUCGGGAGACAUGCAGACAUGACCGAGACGCCUCUCCGGUCAAUAACCAACAACGGGAUCUGGAUACCCAUGUUGGCUCCCACAUGUUCCACGAUGAUCUCAUCGGAUGAACCACGAUGUCGAGGAUUCAAUCAAUCCCGUAUACAAUUCCCUUUGUCAAUCGGUAUGUUACUUGCCCGAGAUUCGAUCGUCGGUAUCCCAAUACCUUGUUCAAUCUCGUUACCGGCAAGUCUCUUUACUCGUACCGUAAUGCAUGAUCCCGUGACUAACGCCUUAGUCACAUAGAGCUCAUUAUGAUGAUGCAUUACCGAGUGGGCCCAGAGAUUCCUCUCCGUCAUACGGAGUGACAAAUCCCAGUCUCGAUCCGUGCCAACCCAACAGACACUUUCGAAGAUACCCGUAGUGCACCUUUAUAGUCACCCAGUUACGUUGUGACGUUUGGCACACCCAAAGCACUCCUACGGUAUCCGGGAGUUGCACGAUCUCAUGGUCUAAGGAAAAGAUACUUGACAUUGGAAAAGCUCUAGCAAACGAAACUACACGAUCUUUUAUGCUAUGCUUAGGAUUGGGUCUUGUCCAUCACAUCAUUCUCCUAAUGAUGUGAUCCCGUUAUCAAUGACAUCCAAUGUCCAUAGUCAGGAAACCAUGACUAUCUGUUGAUCAACGAGCUAGUCAACUAGAGGCUUACUAGGGACACGUUGUGGUCUAUGUAUUCACACAUGUAUUACGAUUUCCGGACAAUACAAUUAUAGCAUGAACAAUAGACAAUUACCAUGAACAAAGAAAUAUAAUAAUAACCAUUUAUUAUUGCCUCUAGGGCAUAUUUCCAACAGUCUCCCACUUGCACUAGAGUCAAUAAUCUAGUUACAUUGUGAUGAAUCGAACACCCAUUGCGUCCUGGUGUUGAUCAUGUUUUGCCCUAGGGAGAGGUUUAGUCAACGGAUCUGCUACAUUCAGGUCCGUAUGUACUUUACAAAUAUCUAUGUCUCCAUUUUCAACACUUUCACGAAUGGAGUUGAAGCGACGCUUGAUAUGCCUAGUCUUCCUGUGAAACCUGGGCUCCUUCGCAAGUGCAAUAGCUCCAGUGUUGUCACAGAAGAGAGUCAUCGGGCCCGACGCAUUGGGAAUCACCCCUAGGUCGGUAAUGAACUCCUUCAUCCAGACCGCUUCCUGUGCUGCCUCCGAGGCUGCCAUGUACUCCGCUUCACAUGUAGAUCCCGCCACGACGCUUUGCUUGCAACUGCACCAGCUUACUGCUCCUCCAUUCAAAAUAUACACGUAUCCGGUUUGUGACUUCGAGUCAUCCAGAUCCGUGUCGAAGCUAGCGUCGACGUAACCCUUUACGACGAGCUCUUCGUCACCUCCAUAAACGAGAAACAUAUCCUUGGUCCUUUUCAGGUACUUCAGGAUAUUCUUGACCGCUGCCCAGUGUUCCAUGCCGGGAUUACUUUGGUACCUUCCUACCAAACUUACGGCAAGGUUUACAUCAGGUCUGGUACACAGCAUGGCAUAUAUAAUAGACCCUAUGGCCGAGGCAUAGGGGAUGACACUCAUCUUUUCUCUAUCUUCUGCCGUGGUCGGGCAUUGAGCCGUGCUCAAUUGCACACCUUGCAAUAUAGGCAAGAACCCCUUCUUGGACUGAUCCAUAUUGAACUUCUUCAAUAUGUUGUCAAGGUAUGUACUCUGUGAAAGACCAAUGAGGCGUCUUGAUCUAUCUCUAUAGAUCUUGAUGCCUAAUAUAUAAGCAGCUUCUCCAAGGUCCUUCAUUGAAAAACACUUAUUCAAAUAGGCCUUUAUACUUUCCAAGAAUUCUAUAUCAUUGCCCAUCAAUAGUAUGUCAUCCACAUAUAAUAUGAGAAAUGCUACAGAGCUCCCACUCACUUUCUUGUAAACACAGGCUUCUCCAUAAGUCUGUGUAAACCCAAACGCUUUGAUCAUUUCAUCAAAGCGAAUGUUCCAACUCCGAGAUGCCUGCACCAGCCCAUAGAUUGAGCGCUGGAGCUUGCAUACUUUGUUAGCAUUCUUAGGAUCGACAAAACCUUCCGGCUGCAUCAUAUACAACUCUUCCUUAAGGAAGCCAUUAAGGAAUGCCGUUUUGACGUCCAUCUGCCAUAUCUCAUAAUCAUAGUAUGCGGCAAUUGCUAACAUGAUUCGGACGGACUUCAGCUUCGCUACGGGUGAGAAAGUCUCAUCGUAGUCAACCCCUUGAACUUGUCGAUAACCCUUAGCGACAAGUCGAGCCUUAUAGAUGGUCACAUUACCAUCCGCGUCUGUCUUCUUCUUAAAGAUCCAUUUGUUUCCUAUGGCUCGCCGAUCAUCGGGCAAGUCAGUCAAAGUCCAUACUUCGUUUUCAUACAUGGAUCCUAUCUCGGAUUUCAUGGCUUCUAGCCAUUUGUCGGAAUCCGGGCCCGCCAUCGCUUCUUCAUAGUUCGAAGGUUCACCGUUGUCUAACAACAUGAUUUCCAGGACAGGGUUGCCGUACCACUCUGGUGCAUAACGUGUCCUUGUGGACCUACGAAGUUCAGUAGUAACUUGAUCCGAAGCUUCAUGAUCAUCAUCAUUAACUUCCGCGCCAGUCGGUGUAGGCACCACAGGAACAUCUUCUCACGCUGCGCUACUUUCCGGUACGGAAGGGGUGACUAUCACCUCAUCAAGUUCCACUUUCCUCCCACUCAAUUCUUUCGAGAGAAACUCCUUCUCUAGAAAGGACCCGUUCUUUGCAACGAAGAUCUUGCCUUCGGAUCUGAGGUAGAAGGUAUACCCAAUAGUUUCCUUGGGGUAUCCUAUGAAGACGCAUUUUUUCGAUUUGGGUUCGAGCUUUUCAGGUUGAAGUUUCUUGACAUAAGCAUCGCAUCCCCAAACUUUUAGAAACGACAGCUUAGGUUUCUUUCCAAACCAUAAUUCAUACGGUGUCGUCUCAACGGAUUUCGACGGUGCCCUAUUUAAAGUGAAUGCGGCAGUCUCUAAAGCAUAGCCCCAAAAUGAGAGUGGUAAAUCGGUAAGAGACAUCAUAGAUCGCACCAUAUCCAAUAGAGUGCGAUUACGACGUUCGGACACACCGUUUCUCUGAGGUGUUCCAGGCGGCGUGAGUUGUGAAACUAUUCCACAUUUCCUUAAGUGUGCACCAAACUCGUGACUUAAAUAUUCUCCACCACGAUCUGAUCGUAAGAAUUUUAUUUUCCUGUCACGUUGAUUCUCAACCUCACUCUGAAAUUCCUUGAACUUUUCAAAGGUUUCAGACUUGUGUUUCAUUAGGUAGACAUACCCAUAUCUACUUAAGUCAUCAGUGAGAGUGAGAACAUAACGAUAUCCUCCGCGAGCCUCAACACUCAUUGGACCGCACACAUCGGUAUGUAUGAUUUCCAAUAAGUUGGUUGCUCGCUCCAUUGUUCCGGAGAACGGAGUCUUGGUCAUCUUACCCAUGAGGCAUGGUUCGCACGUGUCAAAUGAUUCGUAAUCAAGAGACUCCAAAAGUCCAUCUGCAUGGAGCUUCUUCAUGCGCUUGACACCAAUGUGACCAAGGCGGCAGUUCCACAAGUAUGUGGGACUAUCGUUAUCAACUUUACAUCUUUUGGUAUUCACACUAUGAAUAUGUGUAACAUCUCAUUCGAGAUUCAUCAAAAAUAAACCAUUGACCAGCGGGGCAUGACCAUAAAACAUACCUCUCAAAUAAAUAGAACAACCAUUAUUCUCGGAUUUAAAUGAGUAGCCAUCUCGAAUUAAACGAGAUCCAGAUACAAUGUUCAUGCUCAAAGCUGGCACUAAAUAACAAUUAUUGAGGUUUAAAACUAAUCCCGUGGGUAGAUGCAGAGGUAGCGUGCCGACGGCGAUCACAUCGACCUUGGAACCAUUCCCGACGCGCAUCGUCACCUCGUCCUUCGCCAGUCUCCGUUUAUUCCGUAGUUCCUGUUUUGAGUUACAAAUAUGAGCAACCGCACCGGUAUCAAAUACCCAGGAGCUACUAUGAGUACUGGUAAGGUACACAUCAAUUACAUGUAUAUCACAUAUACCUUUGGUGUUGCCGGCCUUCUUGUCCGCUAAGUAUUUGGGGCAGUUCCGCUUCCAGUGACCACUUCCCUUGCAAUAAAAGCACUCAGUUUCAGGCUUGGGUCCAUUCUUUGGCUUCUUCCCAGUAACUGGCUUACCGGGCGCGGCAACUCCCUUGCCGUCCUUCUUGAAGUUCUUCUUACCCCUGCCCUUCUUGAACUUAGUGGUUUUAUUCACCAUCAACACUUGAUGUUCUUUUCUGAUCUCCCCCUCCGCUGAUUUCAGCAUUGAAUAUACCUCAGGAAUGGUCUUUUCCAUCCCCUGCAUAUUGUAGUUCAUCACAAAGCUCUUGUAGCUUGGUGGAAGCGACUGGAGGAUUCUGUCAAUGACUGCGUCAUCCGAGAGAUUAACUCCCAGCUGAGUCAAGCGGUUGUGCAACCCAGACAUUCUGAGUAUGUGCUCACUAACAGAACUAUUCUCCUCCAUCUUACAGUUGAAGAACUUGUCGGAGACUUCAUAUCUCUCGACCCGGGCAUGAGCUUGGAAAACCAAUUUCAGCUCCUCGAACAUCUCAUAUGCUCCAUGUUUCUCAAAACGCUUUUGGAGACCCGGUUCUAAGCUGUAAAGCAUGCCGCACUGAACGAGGGAGUAAUCAUCAGCACGUGAUUGCCAAGCGUUCAUAACGUCUUGGUUCUCAGGGAUUGGUGCUUCACCUAGCGGUGCUUCUAAGACAUAAUCUUUCUUGGCUACUAUGAGGAUGAUCCUCAGGUUCCGGACCCAGUCCGUAUAGUUGCUGCCAUCAUCUUUCAGCUUGGUUUUCUCUAGGAACGCGUUGAAAUUGAGGACAACGUUGGCCAUUAGAUCUACAAGACAUAGUGUAAAGAUUUUAGACUAAGUUCAUGAUAAUUAAGUUCAUCUAAUCAAAUUACUCAAUGAACUCCCACUCAGAUAGACAUCCCUCUAGUCAUCUAAGUGAAACAUGAUCCGAGUUAACUAGGCCGUGUCCGAUCAUCACGUGAGAUGAACUAGUCAAGAUCGGUGAACAUCUCCAUGUUGAUCGUAUCUUCUAUACGACUCAUGCUCGACCUUUCGGUCCUCCGUGUUCCGAGGCCAUGUCUGUACAUGCUAGGCUCGUCAAGUCAACCUAAGUGUAUUGCGUGUGUUCCGAGGCCAUGUCUGUACAUGCUAGGCUCGUCAACACCCGUUGUAUGCGAACGUUAGAAUCUAUCACACCCGAUCAUCACGUGGUGCUUCGAAACAACGAACCUUCGCAACGGUGCACAGUUAGGGUGAACACUUUCUUGAAAUUAUUAUAAGGGAUCAUCUUACUUACUACCGUCAUUCUAAGCAAAUAAGAUGCAAAAACAUGAUAAACAUCACAUGCAAUCAAAUAGUGACAUGAUAUGGCCAAUAUCAUUAUGCUCCUUUGAUCUCCAUCUUCGGGGCACCAUGAUCAUCUUCGUCACCGGCAUGACACCAUGAUCUCCAUCAUCAUGAUCUCCAUCAUUGUGUCUUCAUGAAGUCGUCACGCCAACGAUUACUUCUACUUCUAUGGCCAACGCGUUUAGCAACAAAGUAAAGUAAUUUACAUGGCGUUAUUCAAUGACACGCAGGUCAUGCAAAAUAAUAAAGACAACUCCUAUGGCUCCUGCCGGUUGUCAUACUCAUCGACAUGCAAGUUGUGAUUCCUAUUACAAGAAUAUGAUCAAUCUCAUACAUCACAUAUAUCAUUCAUCACAUCUUCUGGCCAUAUCACAUCACAUAACAUAUGCUGCAAAAACAAGUUAGACGUCCUCUAAUUGUUGUUGCAAGUUUUUACGUGGUUUGUAGGUUUCUAGCAAGAACGUUUCUUACCUACGUAUGACCACAACGUGAUUGCCAAUUUCUAUUUACCCUUCAUAAGGACCCUUUUCAUCGAAUCCGUUCCGACUAAAGUAGGAGAGACAGCCACCCGCUAGCCACCUUAUGCAACUAGUGCAUGUCAGUCGGUGGAACCUGUCUCACGUAAGCGUACGUGUAAGGUCGGUCCGGGCCGCUUCAUCCUACAAUGCCGCCGAAACAAGAAACGACUAGUAGCGGCAAGAAGAAUUGGCAACAUCAACGCCCACAACUUCUUUGUGUUCUACUCGUGCAUAGUAACUACGCAUAGGCCUGGCUCAUGAUGCCACUGUUGGGAAUCGUAGCAUAAUUUUAAAAUUUUCCUACGCUCACCAAGAUGCAUCUAUGGAUUAUACUAGCAACGAGGGGAAAGGAGUGCAUCUACAUACCCUUGUAGCUCGCGAGCGGAAGCGUUCCAAUGAACGUGGAUGACGGAGUCGUACUCGCCGUGAUCCAAAUCACCGAUGACCGAGUGCCGAACGGACGGCACCUCCGCGUUCAACACACGUAAGGUGCAGCGACGUCUCCUCCUUCUUGAUCCAGCAAGGGGGAAGGAGAGGUUGAUGGAGAUCCAGCAGCACGACGGCGUGGUGGUGGAUGUAGCGGGAUGCCGGCAGGGCUUCGCCGACCAUAUACGAGAGAGAGAGGUGUUGCAGGGGGAGAGGGAGGCGCCCAAGGCUGUAAUGCUACUGCCCUCCCUCCCCCCUUUAUAUAGGCCCCCUGGGAGGGGGGGGGGGCGCCGGCCAGAACCCAUCUAGGGUGGGGGGCCGGCGGCCAGGGGGGUAACUUACCCCCCAAGGCAAGUGGGAAGCCCCCCCACCCUAGGGUUCCCAACCCUAGGCGCAUGGGGGGAGGCCCAUGGGGGGGCGCCCAGCCCACUAGGGGCUGGUUCCCUUCCCACUUCAGCCCACGGGGCCCUCCGGGAUAGGUGGCCCACCCGGUGGACCCCCGGGAUCCUUCCGGUGGUCCCGGUACAAUACCGGUAACCCCCGAAACUUUCCCGGUGGCCGAAACUUGACUUCCUAUAUAUAAUUCUUUACCUCCGGACCAUUCCGGAACUCCUCGUGACGUCCGGGAUCUCAUCCGGGACUCCGAACAACUUUCGGGUUUCCGCAUACACAUAUCUCUACAACCCUAGCGUCACCGAACCUUAAGUGUGUAGACCCUACGGGUUCGGGAGACAUGCAGACAUGACCGAGACGCCUCUCCGGUCAAUAACCAACAACGGGAUCUGGAUACCCAUGUUGGCUCCCACAUGUUCCACGAUGAUCUCAUCGGAUGAACCACAAUGUCGAGGAUUCAAUCAAUCCCGUAUACAAUUCCCUUUGUCAAUCGGUAUGUUACUUGCCCGAGAUUCGAUCGUCGGUAUCCCAAUACCUUGUUCAAUCUCGUUACCGGCAAGUCUCUUUACUCGUACCAUAAUGCAUGAUCCCGUGACUAACGCGUUAGUCACAUAGAGCUCAUUAUGAUGAUGCAUUACCGAGUGGGCCCAGAGAUACCUCUCCGUCAUACGGAGUGACAAAUCCCAGUCUCGAUCCGUGCCAACCCAACAGACACUUUCGGAGAUACCCGUAGUGCACCUUUAUAGUCACCCAGUUACGUUGUGACGUUUGGCACACCCAAAGAACUCCUACGGUAUCCGGGAGUUGCACGAUCUCAUGGUCUAAGGAAAAGAUACUUGACAUUGGAAAAGCUCUAGCAAACGAAACUACACGAUCUUUUAUGCUAUGCUUAGGAUUGGGUCUUGUCCAUCACAUCAUUCUCCUAAUGAUGUGAUCCCGUUAUCAAUGACAUCCAAUGUCCAUAGUCAGGAAACCAUGACUAUCUGUUGAUCAACGAGCUAGUCAACUAGAGGCUUACUAGGGACACGUUGUGGUCUAUGUAUUCACACAUGUAUUACGAUUUCCGGACAAUACAAUUAUAGCAUGAACAAUAGACAAUUACCAUGAACAAAGAAAUAUAAUAAUAACCAUUUAUUAUUGCCUCUAGGGCAUAUUUCCAACACUUUCUUCAUGACUUAUACAUGUUCCUAUGACUAUGAGAUUAUGCAACUCCCGAAUACCGGAGGAACACUUUGUGUGCUACCAAACGUCACAACGUAACUAGGUGAUUAUAAAGGUGCUCUACAGGUGUCUCUGAUGGUGUUUGUUGAGUUGGCAUAGAUCGAGAUUAGGUUUUGUCACUCUGAUUGUCAGAGAGGUAUCUCUAGGCCCUCUCGGUAAUGCACAUCACUAUAAGCCUUGCAAGCAAUGUGACUAAUGAGUUACUUGCGGGAUGAUGUAUUACGGAACGAGUAAAGAGACUUGCCGGUAACGAGAUUGAACUAGGUAUUGAGAUACCGACGAUCGAAUCUCGGGCAAGUAACAUACCGAUGACAAAGGGAACAACGUAUGUUGUUAUGCGGUUUGACCGAUAAAGAUCUUCGUAGAAUAUGUGGGAUCCAAUAUGAGCAUUCAGGUUCCGCUAUUGGUUAUUGACCAGAGACGUGUCUCGGUCAUGUCUACAUAGUUCUCGAACCCGUAGGGUCCGCACGCUUAACGUUCGGUGACGAUCGGUAUUAUGAGUUUAUGUGAUUUGAUGUACCGAAGGUAGUUCGGAGUCCCGGAUAUGAUCACGGACAUGACGAGGAGUCUCGAAAUGGUCGAGACAUAAAGAUCGAUAUAUUGGACGACUAUAUUUGGACAUCGGAAUGGUUCCGGGUGAAAUUGGGAUUUUACGAGAGUACCGAGAGGUUACUGGAACCCCCCGGUAAGUGUAUGGGCCUUAUUGGGCCUUAGUGGAAUAGAGGAGGAGGAAGCUUAGGAGGGGGCACGGCCCCCCAAGCCCAAUCCGAAUUGGGUGAGGGGGCCGGCCCCCCUUUCCUUCCUCUCUCCCUCCUCUUUCCUACCUCUCCUACUCCAACUUGGAAGGGGGGGGGGGGGAAUCCUACUCCGGUGGGAGUAGGACUCCCCUAUGGCGCGCCCUAGAGAGGGCCGGCCCUCCCCCUCCUCUACUCCUUUAUAUACGAGGGAGGGGGCACCCCAUAGACACACAAGUUGACCAUUGAUCUCUUGCCGUGUGCGGUGCCCCCUCCACCAUAAUCCAGCUCGGUCAUAUCGUAGCGGUGCUUAGGCGAAGCCCUGCGUCAGUAACUUCAUCAUCACCGUCAUCACGCCGUCGUGCUGACGAAGCUCUCCCUCGAAGCUCUACUGGAUCGUGAGUUCGUGGGACGUCGCCGAGCUGAACGUGUGCAGUCCGCGGAGGUGCCGUACCUUCGGUGCUAGGAUCGGUCGAUCGUGAAGACGUACGACUACAUCAACCACGUUAUCAUAAUGCUUCCGCUUACGGUCUACGAGGGUACGUAGACAACACUCUCCCCUCUGGUUGCUAUGCAUCACCAUGAUCUUGCGUGUGCGUAGGAAAAUUUUGAAAUUACUACGUUCCCCAACAGGUAGCCUGUAUAUGCCUACCACCAUGGCCCCUGGCGGUAGGUGAAAGUGUCAGAUCCCGAAAUGGUUUCGAACAUGGGUCAGAUCUCGAUUUUCUUUGACAAAAGGGUCAAAACACGAAAUUUUGCCUCCCUACAACCCUCGGCUUGCUGCCCCAUGCAGAACCUCGUCGGUUGGCCGUUGUGCCGAUUCCAUCUUGGCUUGUGUUGGUUGCAGCAUCUCGGCUUGUCGCUUGCAGCUGGUUGUGGCUUGUCGUUGCAAGGUUACAACAUCCCCUAUGGCGCGGCAGUGGCUCAGGCGCUUUCUAGCAAAACUUUUCGCAGAGAAAAAGCACCAUCAUUGCGGAUUCCUAGCAAAAUCCAUUGUCAGUUCCAGCAAAAAUUGUCAUCGGUCGCAGCAAAAAGCACCAAUGUUGCGGAUCCCUAGCAAAGUCAGUCACCUGUUCCAGCAAAAAAUGUCACCGGUCGCAGCAAAAUACAUUGUCUAUCAAAACAAAAAGCAUCACCGUGAGAUUGACCUGGGCCUCUUGGGUGUUUAACCAAGCACAUGUUGAGCCCUUUAACAUAAGGAUUAAGAGUUUGACAGUGUGCCGAUCAUCACCAUUAGCCACCUGGGAUAUGAGGAGGUAAAAUAUGUUACCCAAAAUCUCAGGGUCCGCUUCCGUUGUACUUGUCCAUCGUGUUUAUCAUGAAGCUAAAUGCAAACUUGUAGCAAACAUUCUCGUCGAUGAAGCAUGCCAUUGCUUGUCAUCGAAAGCUGGUUGGUUUGGAUCCUGAGCAUUCUGGCGCAGCCGAUGUGCAUGCUACUACUCGGUUUCUCUCAGGGAAGGGUCACACGAUACGUUCAGGCUAUGGGGCAUCCCCCGAUUCGCCUUGGGAUGAUAUAUGGACGUGGAGACACAUAGGUGGUCCCGGUGUGACUCUUGGACAGGGCCUAAUUAUCCCGCUGGAUCAUCACCGUCUUCAGAUACUCCAUCCCUUGCUCGAACCUCCGCUUGUCCGGAUGCCCCUUUGGGAAUUGUGUCAUGAUCAAGGCUCCUCCCUCUACCUGCAUAUUCUUGGCCGGAGUGCGAUAGGACUCUGCGCCCGCCUGGAUCAACAACGUUCACGAGUGCCUCUUUCACCCGUCUACUUUAGGAAGGCAAAAAACACAUAUUUGACCUGUUGGCUAAAUCAAUUCACGAUCUGAACUGCUCUUGAAAAAAAUUCACAAACUGACCAUUUUGUGUGACGCCUGACAGACGGGCGCUGCACUACACUAUGCAGCGCCUUUGUCUUAGGGGCCAGGCGCGGCCCCACAUCCAACCGUGCAGCGCCUAAGCGCUAGGCGCCACACAGUAUCAUGUGCAGCGCCUAGCGCUUAGGCGCUGCACAUUGACUUAAGCCGCAUCGGGCCAGCCCUCCCCAGACAGUUCUUCCCUCCCAGGCAGUUGCUCUCUGUCAACAGAGAGCAGCGGCGGCGCCCCCUUUGAUCCCCCCACACCCCUCUCAGAUCUGGAGAUUUCAGCUGUGGAAUCGAUCUCUAAUCCCUCCUACUAGGUAAACUCCUCCGUUCCCUUUCUUUUCCUCUGUAAAUUUGUUGCCAUUUUUAGAGAUUUGUCCAAGAUUGGGCGGAACCCUUGAUUUGCUUGGUUUGGAUCUUUAUUUGUCCAAGAUUGGGUGUUGUGAUUUAGGAUGUGUAGUCAUAGUGGUACUACCCUAGUAUUGUUCAUUAGUUCAUAAUAUAUGAUUCUUGUUAGUGAAACCCUAGAUUGUUUAGUUUUUUAGAUAUAUAUGAGAUGCCUAGUUUUGUAGAUAAUUAUGAGAUGUUGAGUUUUGUAGCUAUAUAUGAGAUGUUGAGUUUUUUUAGAUAUAUAUGAGAUGUUGAGUUUAUUUGAAAUAUGAGAUGUUGAGUUUAUUUUUAGAUACAUAUGACAUAGGAGAUAUAUAUGAGAAUUUUUCAAAUUGGUAUUGUAGAUCAUUUAUUCAUUGUGUGAGAAGGAGAUGUUGAGAUUCUUGUAGAUGAAUACAUAUGAGAUGUUUAGAUGAACACAUAUGAGAUGUUUAGUGUAUACGGAUAUUUGAGAUGAACUCAUAUAUGUUUAUUGUUUGAACUUUGUAAGGAUGGUUUGCCUUCUCGAUGAUGCCUAUGACACACGACACCGGGCCUACAUGAUGCGCGAGAAGGGGAUGGUAAUAAUGAGUAAUCUAAAUAUUUUGCAAAUUUGCCUUUAGUUGAAAUUGACACGCCCUAAGAUUUGUCAUUACUUGUUUUUUGCAGAAGCUUGAACCUCUGAAGAUUCGGUAUCACGGGGUCUCUGGUGCUGCCAUGCCCGACGAUGAGCGGUACACACCCUACAUCCAGCAAGCAGGACUCCUCCCGUGGAUUCAGUUGGUCAGCUGGUCCACGCCGAACCUCAACGCUCCACUGGUGUCCUCUCUUGCUGAUCGGUGGAGGCCGGAGACGCGCAGUUUCCAUCUUCGGACCGGGAGAUGACCGUGACGCUCCAGGAUGUCUCCUUGAUCACUGGUCUUCCUAUCGACGGGAGGCCUCUCUGUAUGAGUACCGAUUCUGAUGGGUGGCGCCAGCAGAUGACUGCUCUUAUCGGUUUGGCUCCUAUCGGGGCUGAGGCUGAUGUAGAAGAGGGACAAGAGAAGAAGAAGAAGGAAAGGAAAGCAGCCGGAGCUGCUUUCACGUGGAUUCAAGCAAACUUUGCGCAUUGCCCUGUGGAUGCCACUGAUGAUGUGAUCCAGACACAUGCUUGUGUCUAUAUGUGGUACGUUAUCUCGAGGAUUUUGUUUCCUGACGCCACAAGGAAGAACGCUCCAUGGAUGUGGCUGAAGGCGUUGACCGUCUUCGAUAGCAGAUGGAGCUGGGGUUCAGCGACUCUUGCCUACUUGUACCGACAGGUAGUUGGUUUGUUUUGUUAUCAAUUCAUUUAUUCAUUAGCAAUGCAACCUUGCUGUCAAGUUAACAUUGUUUUCUUUGAUAUGCAGCUGGACGAUGCGUGUUGCAGGAUCACAAAUAGUGCAUGCAUUGGUGGUAAUCUGCUUCUACUUUCAGUAUGGAGCUGGGAGCGUCUGCCUGUUGGACGCCCGAAGAGCGUCAAGUUUAAUCCUUUGGAUGUAGAUGACGAAUUACGAUGCCCCACUUGGGCUUACAAGUGGGAUGUGGUAUCCGAGAUGACAAACGAUGUCAAUCUCAUGCACCAAAAGUACAUUGCCGAGUUGUACACAAUUAUGCCUGAGCAGGUAACGAGGACAUUACAACAGUCAUUUCUCAUGCUUGCCUGAAAACUUGUCAUCAAUGUUGCGUUGUUGUCCUAUUUCAUAGGUGGAAUGGCAGCCAUAUGGCGCCAAUGACACAGUAGGGUUCACUGACAUGUUUGUCGUCAACCCGAUGUGCUUGCGGGAUAGGGAUCUUUGGCUUAUGCGGUGCCCACUGAUAUGCAACUGGGUGGUUGAGCUUCAUUUGCCACAUCGCGUGUAUCAUCAGUUUGGUCUGUUCCAGCCUCACCCGCCGGAAUGGGUGGACACGGACAAAGCAUUUCAUAGGUAAGAGAGCAUGAACCAUAUUGACUAAGCAUCGCCACUCCUUCUUGAUUGUGCUAAUGUUUGGUUUUCUACCGUGCAGGUUGGACAGUAGAAAGCAGCGGAAGAUAAAUGACUAGGACAAGCAUCAUUCAUCGUAUGUUACCCAUUUCCAUCUUAGUGUGGAGCAAGCUCGUAACAGUGCAUACGCCCAGCUUCGUGAGCAUAGCUCACUUGCUUUCGAUAACUACAUACGAUGGUUUCUUGAAAAUGCUCGAGUUGAGAUAUGCCCGCUGGCAUACAAUGAUGAUAUUCUUGAAGAUCCCGCAAACUUUGAGGAUAUAUCGAAGCAUCAGUACAAAAAAAUGUCAGGGAAGGGGUAGGAGUCCCUGCUGUUCCGGUGAUUAACUAUGUGGUAAAGUGUUCCCUUCUUUACUUUCCCGUUGGCCGUAUUACACAUGUUUGAAUGGCUAACGUGUUACUUCGUUCUCAUCCGCAGCGCAACCAGAUCAAGAAAGCAGCCGAUGAAAGCCAGUCUAUUCUGGAGAAGACACCGGUUGGAGAAGGCAAUGAUGAAGGUCCACUACAAAAAUUCCUCAAGGUACAUAUCACACUCAGGUGUCCAUGUUACAUAUGUUGCGGAGUUGGGUAUCUUAUACACUUGUUCAUGUUACAGCGUCAGGCCAAGAAGUUAAGGCGGUUAUCGAACCUUCUUGGUUGCCGUGACCUAGAAUAUGAUGAACCAUCUGCCUCUAGGUCUGGUACACCAUCAGACCCCUUAUCUCACCAGCAGGGGGACGAUGUGACUUCCUCAUAUGCUUAUGUGGAUGAUGAGGGUGCGGUCACCCAAGAGGUAUGACUAAUCUUUUAGAUGCAAUUCUCACUUGAUUACGACGCCGGUACCAUAUUGUUUGAUUGUGUGAUAGGUUGAUGGACUUGAUGAUGACAUUACUUUGGCGGACCUCAAGUUCGGUCCGCAUACAUGUUGAAGCGUAGGCAGCCCAUAAGCCGGUUCACGCCCACCGACUUGGACAACAGAGGCAACCCAAAGGUGGUCAUAGGGAGCUCGCAGAUGGCGAGCUUGGAUGAUGAGGCGGAGGAGGAAGAGGAGGCUCCUCCUGCCAGAAGGAAGAAGAUAACCACCAGGCGUGGCCGCAGGAACACGCGCGGAAGGCAUUAAUCGUUGUCGUUUUUAUUAUGAAACUGAACUUGUCGUCGUUUCAUUAGGUUUAUGAACUUGUGAGGUUAUGUGAUAUGUUAGUGAACUCUUAGUAGUGUGCUACUUGUGUUUGCGAACUUGUCGUUGUGAAUUGUCUUAAAUGAUGUGAUGUUCAAGUUAUUACUUGUGUUUGUUCAAAUUGCUAUGAAGUUCAAGUUAUUGUAAGUGUUGUGAUGUUCAAGCGAAUUGAAAUUGCUGUCAACGACUUCUCUUUUUGCAGUUUUGCAGUUUCCAGAUGUGCAGCGCCCAGGGCUCAGGCGCUGCACUAUACUGUGUAGCGCCCAACAGUCAGGCCCUCACACAUUGCUCAAAGGCCCAAAAUGCACGGCCAAAUACUCGGACGGUCCUCCCGUUGUGAAUCAAUGUUUGGUGCCCAUGAGGCUCGACCACGUGAACCAUGCCUGGGUUUGUGGCAGCCAUAGCUAACAACAACCUAGGGAGUCGGUUGUAUAAUUCCUCCCAAUUGCCAUACAACAUCUUGAAUGUGGCUUGCUUCGCCUUCCAUGCCUUGCCGUACUUCACCUUGUAAUGAAAGAUGGCUUUCACAAGGUCAAUGACACUCUUAAUGCUCAUUGUUGGAAGUGUGGGUAUUUGGUUGAAAAACCUGUAAGCGAUGAACUCGGACUUGUGUUGUCUGUGUUCUUGGGACACAAGCUUGCCAUCCGCAUUCUUGUGUCGGCACAUAUGACUUGGUACACAACUCACUAUGCGCCAAGUGGGACCUCCUUUCCAUGGACUUGCACGCACAAUCCAUGGACAUCUUGGCACUUCACAUUUAACCGUGUAACACACAUUGACGUUCGAGUUUGCCACUCUAUGUGGACGAUAAUGCGUAACCAAGUAGUUGUCGAGCCACAUCUUCAAUUCCAAGAAGGAUUCAAACUCACAACCGUGAUAUAUCCCGUUCUUGCCGUCUUCCAAAUCAUGGUGAGAACUUGGCCUACCUCCAAGAGAUAUACAUUUGCCACCACCUACACCGGCUUCAUCCGCAAGACUAAGAUCCUUGAACAAUGGUGUCUUGUGAUCCCGCCGGAAUACCUUCUUAAAUGCUCCGACCUCCUUCGCCAUGAACCCCUCCUCAUCAACUUCUUCAUCGGGACCAUCGUCAUCCGAGUCCGAUGCAUAUGAACGGGAAAAAGGGAUGGAUUGGUCCAUUGUCUCUUGCACAUGAUAUUUGUUGAGAUCACCCACAUUGUUGUCAUGGAGAUCAACUUCGUUGUCAUCCUCCUCGUACUCAUCAUUCUCCUCUUCAAAAGCUUCAUUUUGGUUGUUUGAAAUCAGGCUCAAUGUUGGCCAAACUUGUUGCGUCAAAUGAGGUUCACUCAUUUGAUCUUGGUUCAUGGGUGAGGGAGUACUAGCAACCAACGGGGAGGGGUUCCAGUUCAAGUCCAAAUGCAAACUAGACUCAACCUUCUUGGAGGCAAAUAACUCAAGAGCCUUGUCUAGAGAUUCGGCAACCGUCUCCUUGUAUGCAACCCAGCGUUGCUCGGAGUUCACACGCAUUGUCUUCCAACAGAUGUGCAUUCCAAAACAAACAUUAUGCCUUCCCUCCAACUCAACAACGUCACUUGGGUCCAUCCAAUUUAAAUCCUUCCUCACUUGUUCCAAGACAUCCGCAUAGUUAGGACUACUCUCAAACACCAUGUCAAGCUCAUCCGGGUCCGACUCAACAUUGCCUUUCAAAAGGCCUCUUUAUCCACAUGAUGAACAUAAACACAUGUUCUUCCCAUCCCUAAAAUAAUCAAAAACACACAUAUAUCAAAUAAGUACUUAACCGAAUAUUUGCACAAAAUACAUAAGCCCUAACAUAGAUAUGAAACAAUAACCCUAACCCCAACUUAACAAUAACCACAACCCUAACCAUAGCAUAACCCUAACCCUAACCCCAACAUAACAACACACAUAACCCUAACCCUAGCAUAGUAGGAAGCCUAACCCUAGCAAAUUGGCAAAGAAACAUAACAUGUUCCAACACAAAUUUCCAAAUCAAAGCCAAAACUAGGGUUUUCCCAAACUAGCAAGAUUUGAGCAAAUGUGACAAUUCCUAGAAGAUUUCACAAAACCAUUAUCGCUUAGCUUUUGACUUUUCGGGAAUAUAUUGGCGGAUGAAUUAGUCGUUGUUGUUCUUGUUUCUUUAGUCCCCUUAGUAAUCCCUAUACCGGUCAUGUUUCUUGGAUUAUUUACAAGCGGUAUUCAAGCUCUUAUUUUUGCAACAUUAGCCGCAGCCUAUAUAGGUGAAUCCAUGGAGGGUCAUCAUUGAAUUGACUCUUUUUGGAAAUAGUAUUUUUUUUGCAGCUUAGCUCAAUCAUGCAUGGUUCCUAUGGAUGAAAAAGAGGGGGUCGGAGGAGAUUACCUUAAGGGAGGGGUUGGCUUUGAAAUCCACGGACAAAUACUCCGGAUUUGCAAGAUUNNNNNNNNNNNNNNNNNNNNNNNNNNNNNNNNNNNNNNNNNNNNNNNNNNNNNNNNNNNNNNNNNNNNNNNNNNNNNNNNNNNNNNNNNNNNNNNNNNNNNNNNNNNNNNNNNNNNNNNNNNNNNNNNNNNNNNNNNNNNNNNNNNNNNNNNNNNNNNNNNNNNNNNNNNNNNNNNNNNNNNNNNNNNNNNNNNNNNNNNNNNNNNNNNNNNNNNNNNNNNNNNNNNNNNNNNNNNNNNNNNNNNNNNNNNNNNNNNNNNNNNNNNNNNNNNNNNNNNNNNNNNNNNNNNNNNNNNNNNNNNNNNNNNNNNNNNNNNNNNNNCAGAAAGUGCAGCGCCUAAAGGACCGGGCUGCACAUUACAUGUGUGGCGCCUAGACCUUAGGCGCUGCAUAUUACAUGUGUGGUGCCUAUGCCUUAGGCGCUGCACGGCUGGAUGUGGGGCCGCGCCUGGCCCCGGGCUGCCACGCUGGCCCGGCGUGUGGCGCCCAAGAGCCUGGUGCUGCACAGUAUAGUGUGGCGCCUAGCUGUCAGGCGCCACACAAAACGGUAAGUUUAUGAUUUUUUUCAAGGACAGUUCAGAUCGUGAAUUGAUUUCACCAACAGGUCAAAUAUGUGUUUUUUGCCCUUUAGGAAGGCCUUGUCCUCUGCCGACAUGGUCUUUUCGAUGGGAUGGCAAGACCGGAAGAACUCCUCGCUGCGUCCAGGCCCGCCGCCCUCCUCUCCAAGCAUAUCUUCUCCUUGGAAACCUUGAUGAGAGCCGACAAGACUUCCACCCGGACUGCAUCUUGCUCUUCUCUUCUAGGAUCGCUCCAUCAAGCGCUUCAAUAUCCCUAUCACUGAAUUCUUACACCUCACUGCUUUCCUCUUGGCUUGGAUCUGGCGUGUCUACGAUAUAGUAGGACUGGACCGAGGUCGCCUGCCACGUGCCGAUAGGCAGCAUGGCUCGCGGUUGGCUGUCAGUCGACUCGCACAUCUCCUCGUCAUGAACAUCCAACUCCUCAUUUGCCUCGAGGAUGGUGGUGAGAUAUUCAAUGUUGGUGAUUAAGUGGGUUGUGGGUGGGCCAAAAAAUUUCGCAUGCUGCUCCUAGGCCUCACAUGACGUCAGACCUUGGAGAAGGAGCUCGUUGCGUGAAUCUGCGGUGUACUCCAGAUUGCUUAAUCGAACGAUCUGUCCUGGGGCACAGCUCUCGACUUGGCCCAAGCGGCUGGUUGAGUCGGCGACAAAGGUCAUGGCGCCGAAUGAAGAUCUAACCCGACGUGUAGAUCGUGUCGUCGUCAGCUACCAAUCCCAUCUUAGCACUGAGUUCACCAUGCGGGACCUGCAUGGCCACCACUGUCGGAGCUGAUUCCCUCAGAUCCCUAGAUAGGGUAUCCCGGUGAGGUGAGUAAAUCAGAGGGGAAACAUGAGACAUGCAUAUUUACCUAGGUUCAGGCCCUCCUUACGAGGUAAAACCCUAUUGUGAUUACGGUGUACAAAGUACAUGUAUUAGUCUUAUAUAAGAUAUCGGGGCCCCUAGAGUUACAUGAACCUAGUCGGCUAUGUUGGUGGAGGGGAGUCCGCCAUGUCUUUGGCUUCCUUAUCCUGAGCAACAAGGCUUCAAGAGUUUUCCUUCUAUAAGUCCCAUGGGCCAGCAUGACGACCCAUGGUGAAACCGGCCUUGGAGGCCUCGGGCCGGCCUACUCAGGCUGACAACCAGAGAGGUACGACACCCUUCACCGUAACACCAUCACAACCUGUGUUGAAGCCAUUGCUUGUCACGAGGCUAUGUGUUUGUUAUAGGAUCUUCAAGUGAGCGUGGGAGUGGUCACUUCAGAUUGUACUGGCAUAGUGCAGGACAUCCAUGAGGAAAAAGGAGGUCAACAUGGACUGAUCAUCAAGGAAAUUAGAGCUAUGGAAGAUGGUGCAGGGGUAACCCCCUUCCGCCAUGAACGUCAUGGGUCAAAUGUGGAUGCUCAUCCAGUUUCAGAAAAAAAAGUGGAUGCUCACAAUAUAGGAGAAAACUCUAGUUUUAUCACCAGAUAGGCAUGUCUAGUUGCUUGAGCCCCCGUGGUAUAUGUAAACUCUAUGAUUGAUUAUUAAAGCUCGGGUGUGUUAUUCUAAAAAAAUGUUUUGGAGCAUUGGUUUUUCUUUUUGCCCAGAUCUCCACGAAUGUCAUUCCAUCACGAAAAUCUGCAUGCUUGUGGAAUAUACAUGAAUGUUUGUUGCCAAAAAAAUUCAGAAUUUUUAUUUUUUUACACUUUUUUGUUACUGUUCCGAAUGGUGCAUGUGAGCUCAUGCUCACAAACUCCAUGUCCCACUCUAACAAAUCAACUCUCGGGUUGGAAAUAAUAAUUUAUAUUGAUUUCUUCUUCUGUGAAUUGAGUCUUCCAAAUGAUAGACAACUCUACAUUUGGUCUUAUAGGAAUGAUAAUAGAUGGAGCACAUCUCUUUAGAAUACUACUAGGAAAGGAGCACAUGUGUUGCAACGGGGUAAUAAAAUUAUGCUCUUCAAAUUGAGUGACCCAUAACAUAAUACCCAUAAUAUACAACCCUCGUUGUUAAUUCAAAUCAAUAAUACAGAUGUUUGUUGCACUUAAUAAUUAAACAUGCUAAUAUAAUACAUUUAAUUGAUGGACUACAUGACCCAAGCUUAUAGACCGGUUGUCAUGAACCAAAAUGAAUCAAACUGAUUAAGUGGUUGAUAUGUAUAAGGUCAAUGAAACCAUUGAGAGUGGCAACUACAAGCUCAACGCACCGUGAGGCUUAAGUUCUCUUAUUGCAGACAUGUGUAGCCAGUGCUACUAACAUCAUUAAGCCAUCAUUAUUAGGGGUAGUAGUGCAUAGUCUUCUUCAUAGGUUGUGAUUUGUGAAAUACUCUCGCAGUACAUUGUCUUGUUACACCGUCCUGUGCCGUCGUCUCGUCAAGUCCUAAUCGGGAGCAGUGUUCAGCUGAUAAGAACUCUACCAGAAAGUAAUGGCAAUCAAGCUGGCAUUGUAUCAGUGCAUGCUCAUAAAUCACACAUACAGUUGGCCUCUCCUCACAAAUAUGCAAGACACAGAAAACAUGUGUUAUCGUUAAUUGACUACUGGAUAGUUUUGAUACAAUAAAUCAGUAUAAAAAAGCACAGGCAAAUGGAGAAAAUAUGAACCUAUGGCGUUGCACUCGCUCCUCCUCACUAACCUUGGUGACUUGGCUGUCUUCAUCUAAAUUUCCCAAGAUCUUUUCUGAUGGCCCUUUUGGUGCACCAACUCAAAAUUACAAGAAAUAGGACACCCUUCUGCUUAUCGGUCUCGGAAUUGGCACAACUCCUUUGGUCAGCAUACCGAAGGAUGUCCUGAACAACAUGAAGUCCAAUAAGGGAACGUAAUGACUGAAAGUUCUUUCUCAUACAUGAGUAGAGAUGCACAAUGCCUAAACUGGAUUCAACAGGAGCAGCAAAGCAUGGAUGACGACGAGUUAGGCAGCACCUUCAAGGGCAACGGGCCAAGCCGAGCAUACUUCUGUUGGGUUACCAUGGAACAAGCGGCUCGUUUGAAUGGUUCAAAGGUGAUAUAGGUGAAGUUGCUGAAAGUGAUGACGGUAUACUAGGCAACCGCAACAGUUUCGGUAAACAACAACGUCCCACAUAGCACAGAUUUGUAGAAGGAAAAUAACUUAAUCUCUUGCUGUACAGAAUGCAAUACAGAUGCGCAGCUACCUUACAAGUGUGUAUGAGGAAGGAGAUGCGUGGUCAGCUCUGAUUGCCAUGGUUCAGUCUCCCCAACAUGGUAGCAAGGUUUCUUCUUCUUCUCCCUUCUCACUCCCACUGUUACCUGCAAAAAGUUUCAGAUACACCAUGGUUGCUUCCUCUCCUGACUGCUACAUCACAGAUCCGCACACUUUGCAAGGCCAAACUGGAGAAAGGCGCGCUCUGAUUUGGCCAGUACCCACGAGAACCCACGUAUAGGCCAGUCACAUUUGAUUAAAUUUUGCUUGGCUGUGCGCCUGAUCAAAAUUUAAGUGACGAAUCCUACUUUACAUUACACAAAGACACUUAAAUUUUCUCCCUGUUUACAAUAUGAAUAGAUGGACACCCAAUAUGAAUCAAACAGUGACGAAUCAUAUUGUAAACUCCGCAUAAGUCUGCAGGUUUUUUCUACUGUGGAUCUCCCACGCUUACAGAAGUAGUCACGGAUGUUGCAGUAGAAUUCACCUUCUGCUUCCUCCUCUUACCGGCUCUCGUCAGCGGCAGCAGGGGAGAGGCGGCUGUAGCGACGUAUCCCGGUCGGACCCGUGCGUGGAGGAGACUUGCUCGGAUACACGGCCUUGCCUGACACAGACUCCCCAUGAAUCGCCCUCCUUUUGCCACAUAAAUAGGCCUCGAGCCCUCUACGGAAGCAUCCAAUCUCGCGGUCUGCAAUCUCGCCGUUCUAUCAACUCCGCCGGACGCCGUGCUCCAUAUGCGGACAUGAUGCCGUCGUAAAAUCUCGCGGUUCUACCAACAUCGCCGGACCGCCCGUGCUCCAUCUGAGGUACGCCUGAUCUCUCGUGCCAAGCUAAAUUCGGUUCUGUCGUUUUGAAGAGCACAUGAUUUUUGCUGCGUGUCUGCACUCUGCAACCAUAGCUGCCAUCAUCAUCAUCAUCAUUACCUUGCCCGUAUACGGACAGUCUGCACUCUUUAGGCCUCAUACACACUAGAGAGUACUACUUCAUAGUGGCGGCUGGUAGUUCCAAUAUCUGGAGAAAGAACCAUGCUAUACGUACGACAAUUCACGUACGAGGAGCAGAUCAACCUGUAUAUCAGCUGGACUCUAAGUCCAGCAACGGCUGGAUGUUGCAUCGUACCAAAUCGGACAAGUCAUGUUCGUACGUGUAGUAGUUUCGCUGGAGAAAGAACCAUGCUAUACGUACGACAAUUCACGUACGAAUUAUAUCCGAUGGAGCAGAUCAACCCGUAUAUCAGUUGGACUCUAAGUCCAGCAACGGCUGGUCAUCGCUCUUUUGUAUAUUUUUAUUCUCUUUCCUUUACAGUAAAACAUACACCAUGCUCGCAUUGUUGCAUCUUGCAAUUAGUUCCAGAUUUGCUCGUGGGUGUCAUUCGAGGUCAGAGUAAUUAUUUAGGCAGUGUGCCAACUUUAGGCCCCCUCUGUUGAAAUCCAAAAAUCCAGUAGCUUAUGCAGCCUAUAAGUAGCUUCUAUUGAUUAGUAGCUGAUUUCUGUCAUAAUGAAUAGCUGGACACACCCACUAUUUACAUAUUAUUAUAAUUUCUCCCUGUUUGGUUGAACUCCAUGUUGAUUGCACCUUCGCACAAUAUAAAAUAUUAUUUUGGUUGUUAUUGCAGAAAAUGAAUGACAGCGCUGACUUGACCAUUGUUGUGGAUUUUGAUAACCGACCUUAAAAAAGCCAAAUUUUCUGAGUCGGAUGUUUUGGAGCCAUCACCUACGCCACCAACCAUCUCAACAUUAUCUUUUGGUUUUUGAAUGUUUUGAAUCGAUUACUCUGGUAUUAAAUAGAUGUUGAUCCAUUGCGAUGACCUCCGUUACCAACCAGAUCGACAUCACCUCCGGUUUCUGAAUGUAUGCAUGAAAGACAAGUUUAUUCGAUGAUGAUAAAGCAACCAGAGGAAUAUGAAGAAAUAAAAGUUGAUGAAACAUACAACUACUUCCCAAUAGGUAAUUGUUUAUGACGUGUACUUUUGUAUCUAGCGUCUUAAAUGCCUUUUUGUUAUUUAAUAUUAUUAUUUCUGUAUGUGCACGGUUAAUCCAUAUUUACACAUGGAUUUAUUCAAUAUUCUUUCAAAUUAUUUUACCUUUUGCAGAUUAUGCACUGACCAACCAUGAUGUAUGUGCUCAUAUAGCAAUGGAAACAUUUUUUGAAAAAACAAUUACUGGUGAAGAUAGAUGAAAUAUCUGUCAAAAAGCAUCGCUAGAUGAAAAAGGGGUGGCUAAACGAUGAUGUAAGUACCCUUACUUACAAGGAGAAGUCCAAUUAUUGAUAUCCACUAGUAAUGUCUUUUUCAAAAUCUUUUUACGUAAUCAACACAUAUGUAUGUUGUAUAGAGGACCAAGUACAUGUUCAAAAUGAUAGUAAAGUAUUUCAGAAUCCCUUUGUUACCGCACCGUUAAAAAGGGAGAUCAACCUUGGAAUACAUGAAGAUGGUACCUUUAUGAAAAAGAUUGUCAAAAACUUGUGAAGCAUGACAUGGUAACAUCCAUAUCCUUAAUUAAUAUGUUCUGGGUUUAAUACAUAUUUAUUAGUAAUUUUACUAAUAAUCUUGAAAAAGAUUGUCAAAAACUUAUGUGAAGCAUGACAUGGUAACAUCCAUAUCCUUAAUCAAUAUGUUCUGGGUUUAAUACAUAUUUAUUAAUAAUUUUACUAAUAAUCUUGAUUAUAGAAUGAAAACUUUCAAUAAAUAUGAACAACACACAUUGCUAUUUAACUGUUGUGAACGCGAAAAAUUGUGAGAUUAAAAUGCUAGACUCAUUGUGUUUCAGGUUAGACCGAGAUGAUCUCACUAUUACGGUUGGUUACUACAUCAUAAACUGAUCCUUCGCUUAUGUGUAUUAUUUCCGAUCACAUAUUUCAGCUACAAGGAUUACAAUAUCAAUUGGACAAUAUUAACUUGAUAAGCCACAAUUGGAAAGACUUCGAUGUUACUAAAUGGAAGAUUACAAAACAACUAUGGAAGCCAAUUCAAAAAGACAAGUAUAAAGCAACACAUAUGUUCUAUACUAUUAUAAGUAGUAUUGUGAUCUAUCUAGGGUACUCAUUUUUUUAAUUAUACAGUUCACCCCAUGGUCUAUUAUGCUUAAAUUCGUGCAAUAUUAGACCAGAUAUGCACUAUCUUAUCCGAUUACACAUGUAUAUAUCUCUUUUGUUUGAGAAAUAUAUAUAGUUGAUGAUAUGUUCAUUUUUAUGAUAUACUAAUAAUUGUUGGUGUUGCAUAGGAAAUUAUUAAUUCUUUUAGGUAUUAGUUAGCCAGCAUACUAUUAUGUUAAAAACAAACACCGUGGCAAUGACUACAAUGAUUGAACAAAGUGAUGAUGACAUUGAGGGAGAUCCUAAUGAAAUGUUGGAAAGUCCAUUUGAUAAAAUAAAAAUCAAAAGCAAUAAUCUCAUUAUCUAUGAAAAUAAAUACCAAUCACUAAUAUUUGUUCUUUCAAACACGAGCUUACAUGAGUUACUAGGUAAACUUUGUAGCUACAUCAAAUCAAUCGAUUCUAUAAAGAUUUUAUUGUAAGUUAUUUCAAAUUAGUGGUGCAAUUGACAACACACAUUAUCUUAUUUUCUUAUGAGUUUGGGACAAGGCAAAACCUUGAUUUUGUAGUCCCCAAGGUUUUGGACUUGCCCCAAACUCAUGAAAAAAAUAAGAUAAUGUUUAUGUUUGUUGUCUAUUGCACUACUAAUUUGAAAUGAAUCACUCUAAAAUAUCUAUAGAAUUGAUUGAUUUGAUGUAGCUACAAAGUCCACCUACUAACUCAUCUAAGCUCAUGUUAGAAAGAACAUAUAUUAGUGAUCUGUAUUUAUUUUCGACAAAUAAUGUGCUUAUUGCUUUUUAUGUUUUUGUAUGAUAUGGACUUUCCAACAUUUCAACAUCAUUAGGAUAUCCAUCAAUGUCAUCGCCAAUUUGUUCAAUCAUUGUAACCGUGGCUCCGGUGUUUGUUUUCCAACAUAAUAGUAUAUACUCGCUAACUUUAUACCUAAACGAAGUGAUAAUUUCCUAUGUAACACCAACAAUUAUUAGUAUAUUAUUGAACAAAUCAUAUAUGUUUAUCAAACAAAAGCGAUAUAUACAUGUAUAAUCGGACCGGAUAGUGCAUAUCCAGUCCAAUAUUCCAUGAAUUUAAGCAUUAGUAGACCACGAGAUGAACUGUAUAAUUAAAACAAAAUUAUUACACAUCAAUUAUUACGUAUAUUGGUAUAGAACACAUGUGAAGCUUUAUAUCAUAUCUUUUUGAAUUGGCUUUCGUAAUUGUUCUGUAAUAUUCUAUUUAGUAACAUCUAAGUCUUUCCAAUUAUGGCUAAUGAAGUUUUAACUUUCAAGCAUGUCCAAGUGAUAUUUUAGUUCUCAUAGCUGAAAAUUAAUUAAUGAUCAGAUUUAAUACACACAAGCGAAAUUUCAUAUAAUAAAGGAUAAUAAAUGAUGUAGUAACUAACCGUAAUAGUGAGAUCAUCUUAGUCAAACUCGUAACACAAUGAGUCGAGUACUUGAAUCUCACUCUUUUGCAUUCGCAACAGCUAAAUACCAAUGUGUGUUAUUCAUAUUUAUUGGAAGUUCAAUCUGUAAAAGACAAUCAGUUAAACUAUGAAUAACAAUGUAUGGAACACAAAACAUGAAAAUUAUGUAUAUGGAUGUUACCAUGUCAUGCUUCACAUAGUUUUUGACAAUCUUUGUCAUAAAGGUACCAUGUUCAUAUAUUUCAAGGUUGCCAUCCUGUUUUAACGGUCCGUUAACAAAAGGAUUCUCAAAAUAUACUUUACUAUCAUUCUGGACAUGCACUUGGUCUUUUAUACAAAGUUUGACCAAAUUUAUAUAUUGAAAAAAAUAUCAGCAUUGUCUACAAUGCUUAAGUUAUAUACCAAAAAGGCUUUCGCCCCGCUUUAUAAAUAAAGCAAACCGUCCAAGAGCACACAUACACGGACUAGUCCAAACACACACACCCAAGUCUCACAAGAGGAAGUACAAUAGGUUCUGCUGAGGGCACAGUUUAAGUUAUAUAGUAUGAAAUUUAAUUUCAUGAUGCAUCUAAUGAAAUUAAAUUUUAUCUAAUAAACAUAUGCAUUUUGUAACGUAAAUGUUGAUUUUUUUCCCUAUAAAGUUGUUCAAAAUUUCCAAAGUUUGACUUCAGACAAAUUUUAUAUGGAAACUAAAAGGAAACCGAAGGAGUACCAAUGAUGAUGAGAAUAAAUGAUGUUUAUUUUUUUAAAUAGAACCUAGCGGAGAGCCUGUCCGGCCGCAGAUCACCAUGUUAGGUUGAUCUCUCUCCCGUUCGAACCCAACGGGUCGAACGGGCCCUUGACUCGCGCCCUGAUCGGGGGCGUCCAACCAAACCAUGGUUGGUGGGCCCUGUGACCCGCGCUAUAUAAACAGAGGUGGGGGCCGGGGCACGACUUACGAGGUUAAUCGCUGCCACAAUCCCCACCUACAAUCCCUACCGAUCUAGGGUUAGCGCGGUGCUCACGGGAAGUUCCACCACCUCGCCCACUCUCCGCCAUCGCCGUGCGCCCCAGCACCACGAUGGCCUCCGGCUCAAGUUCAUCCACUGCCGGACAAGGUAGGUUCACCGGAUCUACUAGCCUACUCCGAUCCAAAGAAUCUAUCAAUGGUAUCAGCCAGAUCGGGCUAGUUGAUUUCGGUACAAAGAAACAAACACAGAAAAAGUCUCUGAAAAUGCAAAAAGAAUUUUUUUAGAAAAUAAAUGUUCAUGAAUUUUAUAAAGAAAAUUAAUAAAGUUCAUGAUUUUAUAUUCGGUCAUAGAAAAGUUUCUGUAAAAAGUAAAAAGUUCGUGAAUUUUUAUUCAUGUUUUUCCGCUGCGUAAAUAAUUAAUGCUCUUUUACAAAGAAAAUAAAAGUUUACAUAGUAUUAAGUUUUUAAGAGCAUGUUAAAGUGAUUAUUAAAAUGAAUAUGAUUAUGUUAUUUUUAUGACCAACGUUGUUAAUAACAUGAUCAUGUUUUAUUAUUGAAAUUUAAAGGUGCAUUUAUUUCUAAUUUUUGCCCAAUGGUAAUAUAGAUUUAAUUGCAUAGACAAUUAUAUGUUUAAUUUGACCAACGUUAGAUUAAUGCAUAUUAUUGUUAUAUUGAUGUCACUUAAAUUGUGAUUUCAGGAGGCUUUCACUUGAUGAGUUGCCUAAAAGAAGUUCCGACACUCAGAGGUGACAACCACACUGAGUGGAGGAAGAAAGUUGAACUGGCGUUUGUUUGUGCUGAUCUUGACUGGGUUGUGGAGAAACCACAGCCGGUCAGACCCACAGAGCCAGUAAGAGAGGCCACUGAUGAUGAUGCUGCAUGGGCUAAAAAGAAAGGGGACUAUGCUCCUUUGGAGCAGUCCUACCUCAUAGAUAAUCAAAAGUGGGUCAAUGCAAAUAAAAAAUGCAUGGCCUUUAUAAAGAACACCAUUGAGAGCGCCAUUGUGGGCUCCAUUGCAGAGUGCACUUCCGCAGGGGAGUUGCUCUCAAAGAUAAAGAACCAGUUCACUGGCUCUUCAAAGAUAUAUGCCACCCAGGUGUUAGAGCAACUGGUGACAGAAAAAUACACAGGUGGUAGUCAUGGCAUAAGAGAGCACAUCCUCAGGAUGAGCAAUAUGGCAGCAAAGCUUAAGCCCAUGGAUGCGGAUCUGGAGAUCAAACCAGCGCUCCUGGUCCACCUUGUCAUGGCUUCACUACCCAAGGAGUUUGAAGCUUUUGUUGUGAACUAUAAUAUGUCACCUGGAACAUGGGACGUUGAAAAGACAAUAGCAAUGUGUGUUCAAGAAGAGGAGAGACUCAAAGCCUCACAUGGUGGUACACUCAACUAUGUGCAGGGUCACAAAAGAAAGAAUUACAAUCAAAACAACAAAAGUUCUCCUUCAAAGCCACAAGGAAAAGUUACCUAUCAGCAUCAGCGUCAGCAACAGCCUUUCUCAGUGGACAAAGACACUUGUCUCCACUGUAAGAAGACCGGGCAUUACAAGAAAGACUGUCCUGUUUGGCUAAAGUCGAUCAUGGCAAAAAGAGGUAACAAUAUAGUUUCAUUUGUAAAUGAAUCCCUGUAUGCACAGUUUUCAAAAUCCACUUGGUGGAUUGACUCAGGAGCAACUGUUCAUGUUGCAAAUUCUUUACAGGGAUUCCAUUCGACGCGGACUACACUAAAAAGCGAAAGACGCAUUGAAGUGGCGAACGGAGUUGAAGCAGAAGUUGAAGCUGUCGGUGAUAUCUCCUUGGAGUUAGCUGAUGGAUUCAAUCUUCUACUUAGAGAUGUUUUAUUUGUUCCAUCAUGUCAUAGAAACUUAAUAAGUGUUUCUUGCUUGGACAAAGAUAAUUAUGAGUGUUAUUUUGGACAUGGCAAGUGUGCCAUUUGGUUAAAUAAUGCUUAUGUGGGUGAUGCUUUACUACAUGAUGAGCUUUAUUUGUUAUCACUUCGUGAAAAAGUUUAUUCCGUUUGCAAUGUGAAAGAACAUGUUUUUGCGUCGAAUAAAGAACAAAAGAAAAGAAAAAGAACAUUUGACUCAUCGAAAUUAUGGCACUGUCGCUUGGGCCAUAUUUCGAAGGGGAGAAUAGAAAGAUUAGUCAAAAGUGAAAUUCUUCCUCCGUUAGAAUUUUCAGACUUAGAACAAUGCAUAGAUUGCAUUAAAGGAAAGUACGUAAAACAAAUCAAAAAAGGUGCAAUCCAUAGCACAGGCACACUAGAAAUCAUUCACACUGAUAUUUGUGGACCAUUUCCGGUGAAAAGUGUGGAUGGAUAUGACUCGUUCAUAACAUUCACAGAUGAUUACUCUCGCUAUGGUUAUAUUUAUCCAAUCAAAGAAAGAUCGGAAGCGUUGGAUAAAUUUAAAAUAUUCAAAGCUGAAGUUGAAAAUCAGCACGAUAAAAUAAUAAAGAUAGUAAGGUCCGACCGUGGGGGAGAGUACUACGGUCGACACACUCCAUAUGGCCAAGUCCCUGGACCUUUUGCGAAGUUCUUGCAGGAGACUGGCAUAGUAGCCCAGUAUUCAAUGCCGGGCGAGCCUCAGCAAAAUGGAGUAGCUGAAAGGCGCAACCGUACCCUUAUGGAUAUGGUGCGCAGCAUGAUGAGUUAUUCCAACUUGCCAUUGGGAUUAUGGAUGGAGGCGCUUAAAACCGCCAUUCACAUUCUCAAUAGAGUACCAAGAAAGUCGGUGCCCAAAACACCGUACGAGCUAUGGACAGGAAGGAUGCCCUCCCUACAACACUUCAGGGUGUGGGGGUGCCCUGCUGAGGCCAAAAUGUUUAAUCCAAACAUUGCAAAGUUAGAUCCCAAAACAUUAAGUUGCCACUUCAUUGGCUAUCCAGACAGAUCAAAAGGUUUUCGUUUCUACUGCCCUGACAGAUAUACAAAGUUUGUAGAAACGAGGCAUGCAGUCUUCUUAGAGGACGAAAUGAUGAGGGGGAGCUUGGUAGCUCGGAAAAUUGAUCUUGAGGAGAAGAGGGUGCAUGCACCUAAUCCGAUGAUUCAGGAGCCAUUUUUCUCACUACCAGUUGCAACUCCACCCAUGACAGCUAUGGGGGAAGACCCGAAACCUGUCCGUCAGGAGCCGACUGAACCCGUUGUUGAGCAUGAAAGGGAGGUGCAAUAGCAAAUUUUAGAAGAAGUGCUAGAAGUUGAGGCACAAAAUGUGCCAGAAACUGAGGCCCUUAGAAGGUCUACAAGACCAAGGAAGUCAGCUAUUUCUACCGACUUUAAAGUUUAUAACAGAGAAAUGGUUCAUAUGGAAAAAGAUCCCACCUCAUAUGAAGAAGCCAUGAGAAGCCCUCAUUCAUCGAAGUGGAUGAAGGCAAUGGAAGACGAGAUGAAAUCGAUGAGUUCCAAAGAUGUUUGGGACUUAGAGGAAAUUCCCAAAGGAGCCAAAACAGUAGGCUAUAAAUGGGUCUACAAAAUUAAGUAUGACUCUAAAGGGAAUAUAGAAAAGUAUAAAGCACGACUCGUGGCAAAAGGAUUUACACAAAGAGAAGGGAUAGAUUACAAUGAGACAUUUUCUCCAGUCUCAUGUAAGGAUUCCUUCAGAAUCAUAAUGGCAUUAGUUGCUCAUUUUGAUUUAGAGUUACAUCAAAUGGAUGUUAAGACGACAUUUCUGAAUGGUGAUUUAAAAGAAAAGGUCUACAUGAAACAACCCAAGGGUUUUAUCAUGGAAGGCAAGGAAAAUAUGGGAUGCCGCCUAAAGAAAUCCAUUUACGGAUUAAGACAAGCCUCUCGGCAGUGGUAUCUAAAGUUUAAUCAAACGAUUAAAAGUUUUGGAUUUAAAGAAAAUAUUGAGGAUAAUUGCAUUUAUGCAAUGUUUAAAAAUGGGAAAUAUAUUUUCCUAAUCUUGUAUGUGGAUGAUAUCCUGCUUGCUAGUAGUGAUGUUAGUCUACUACAAGAAACAAAGAAAUACUUAUCCUCAAAUUUUGACAUAACAGAUCUUGGUGAAGCAUCAUAUGUUUUGGGCAUAGAAAUUCACCGAGAUAGGAACAAUGGAGUCUUAGGACUAUCUCAACAAGCAUAUUUAGAAAAGGUUCUUAAAAAGUAUAAUAUGCAUGCGAGUAAAGCCACACCUGCUCCAAUAGUCAAGGGCGAUAGUUUUGGGAAAUUCCAAUGUCCCAAGAACCAGUAUGAGAUCGAUCAAAUGAAAGCAGUACCAUAUGCUUCGGCAGUUGGCAGCUUACAGUAUGCACAAGUGUGAACUCGCCCUGACUUAGCUUUUAUCACCGGGGUACUCGGUAGAUAUCAAGAGAAUCCAGGCCUAGAGCACUGGAAGAUGGUAAAGAAAGCAUUGCGUUAUGCGCAAGGCACGAAGGACUACAUGCUAAUAUACAGGAGAAGUGAUUCCCUAGAGAUAAAAGGGUAUUCAGACGCAGAUUUUGCGGGGGACAUAGAUGAUAGAAAAUCCACGUCAGGAUACAUAUUCACCCUCGCUGGGGGAGCUAUUUCGUGGAAAAGCUCCAAACAGUCGAUAGUUGCAUCAUCUACGAUGUAUGCAGAAUUCGUAGCAUGCUUCGAAGCCACGGGGCAGGCGAUAUGGCUAAAGAAAUUUGUACCCGACUUGAAAGUGGUAGAUUGUAUUCACAAACCACUAAAGAUGUACUGCGACAACCAGCCCGCGGUAUUUUACGCUCACAACAACAAGUCGAGUAAUGCUGCCAAAACAAUAGAGAUAAGGUAUUAUGUUGUGAAAGAUAAAAUCCAGGAUCAAACUAUAAGUCUCGAGCAUAUAAGGACAAAGGAUAUGCUUGCGGAUCCGCUAACGAAAGGCUUACCACCCAAUGUGUUCAAGGAACACUUAGCCGGCAUGGGUUUAAGGGAAAGCCUUAUGAUUCCUGGAUAGGCCCAAAAGGAACAGAAUUUGUUUCUGAACAUAACGUAUGUUGUAGCUGUAUGAUUCUAACGGCAAUUAAGUCGUGACGAUGAAACAUGCUCUAUGUACCAAUAUGUGAUGAAACAAAUAAACUAGAAAGUAUAAAGUUAAAAGUAAAGUUGAGAUCAAGGGGGAGAAUGUUAGGUUGAUCUCUCUCCCGUUCGAACCCAACGGGUCGAACGGGCCCUUGACUCGCGCCCUGAUCGGGGGCGCCCAACCAAACCAUGGUUGGUGGGCCCCUGUGACCCGCGCUAUAUAAACAGAGGUGGGGGCCGGGGCACGACUUACGAGGUUAAUCGCUGCCACAAUCCCCACCUACAAUCCCUACCGAUCUAGGGUUAGCGCGGUGCUCACGGGAAGUUCCACCACCUCGCCCACUCUCCGCCAUCGCCGUGCGCCCCAGCACCACGAUGGCCUCCGGCUCGAGUUCAUCUACUGCCGGACAAGGUAGGUUCACCGGAUCUACUAGCCUACUCCGAUCCAAAGAAUCUAUCACACCAGAGUGUAUCUUCGUGAACGCCCGCCCCAAGUUGGAGUGAUGUGUUCUUCACAUCCUUCAACGCGGUCGCCAUGGACGAGAAGUCGAGACCCUUCCGCGCGGCCGGUAUGGACCAGGGGUGGUUCUACCCGGAUGCCGCGCGGCCGCCGCCGACGAAGUCCUUCGUCGCGGCCGCCAUGGACACGAGGGCACCAGGAGGCAGGAGUUACGUAUCUGAUCUUUUUUUUCCUUGCAGCUGUUAUACGUAUCUGAUCGUGGAGCAAUGGAAACGUAAAAUGAAGGAGCGGGAUUGAGCAGCUGGGAUCGGAAACAGAGCGGCAGUGGGGUUGCGUGCUUUAAGAUUGGAGUUGGGAUGGACCCGAUCUCAGAAUUUAUUUUCCCAUCUUCUCCGCCUCCGCCUCCUCCUCCUCCGCUGCCUCCACCUCCGCCGAUGGCAGCCGCCACUCCAAGCAAAAGCAGCAAGGAGGUCAUGGCCUUCAACUAUCCCAGAUGCUCAUGCUGAUCCCGCGCUCUGUUAUCAGGGCUACGUUCAACUACGACCUCAGCGCUAUCGGCAAGAUUUUGAUGGCUAACGAUGGUCGUUCGGCCGCGGAACCAAUGGACUACGUAAGGAAGGUGCGCUCAAUUGCUUCUCGUGCCUCUUUAGCUUCUUUUCCUUUCCGAUUUUGAGCUUUCGUUCAACAGAUGUGCGUAUUUUGGAUCGGCUGAAAAUAGUUCAUAGAUCCCAUGAUCGGAGAUAUGUACGAGCUCUUUUAUGAUACCCUGUGUUACAUAUGGGCCGUCAAAUCGUAACAGUGAACGGUUGGGUAUAGCAUGCAUGCGCAGGUUUCUGUCGUGUCGAACUAGCCCACCCCGUCCUUGCCCUCCCAUUACCUUCCCCACCGCGUUCAGUAGGGAAAAAAACUAGGGUUCCGGCCAUGGCCGGCGUGCGCCUGCCAUCUAUGGUGGAUCAGGAGGCUGCCGAGCUAGGCCCCUCUUCCACUCCACCUACGCUGCGCUGCCCUCCCUCCUCUUCCUCCAUGCACGAGGCGCUCGAGGAGGACCCGACGCCACUGAUCCCUAGGGACGCUGUCGUGCUCCGGGACCGGCCGACGCUCACCCGCCAGUGCCCUCACCACGUCUUCUCCACGGAGGUCCCUGCCUGCGCCCUAGGCCGGAGCUGUGCGCCGACCUCCACUCCGGCAGCACGCGUCGCUUGAACCCGGCUUGGCCGCAUCACCGAUUUAAAGCAGCGCUUCUCGCUCACCGGGAACUAGACCGUCGCCGCCAGCCCCGGCGAGGACAGCUGGGCUGGCUAGGUGCAGGGCCUCGGAACCGACGUCUACUGCUCGUCUGCUACAGAGGCUGGUCAUGCUGGGCAGGCGAGGCCAUGGCGGCUGGCCGCCCUGCCCACUCUCUAGGAUUCCAGCCGCUGCCGACAUGCAAGGCAUCUUGAUUUUCCAUGUCAGUAUGUUUGUGACUUGUGUAUUGGCUCAAAGUUAAAUGACUACGAUUUUGAGAACUAGCAGAGCAUUGUUGAAAUAGAAAAUUACUCUCUCUGAUUGUUGUUCUAUAUGAGAAUUUCAUGCUUCUUAUAUGCUUGAGCCAAUUUGGUAGAUGUAAAAUUAGGUAAAUGGAAAGUUUGAUACAGUGAGUACAUUGCGAUUAAGUGUUUGUGCUUUUGUUUGACUUACAGUAUCUAAGAAGAAAGUAAAUAGGUAUUCACUGUAAUGUUCCAUUUGCCUCCGAAAUUCAAGACUUCAUGGCACACUUUUGCUACAGGAUGUGUAGGAUAAGGUAAAUGUUUUUUUUUUCUUUUUUUUGCUAUCUUGUGUUUCUUCCUAUAUGAUGAAAAUCUCUGCUUGGAGGGGAAAUGGUCAGUUGCCACUUUGAACCAUCUCAACUUGGAGGAUUGUAGAUUAUUAUGGGAGAUUGCCUAAAUUUGUCUCUGGACUACUGUAUUAUAGCAGGAUGCACAUGACCCUGAUAGAUUCAUACUAGACGUUAAUUACACAUUUAAUACAUAAACUUUCACUAGACGUACAGAUUCAUACAUAAACUUAAAAAUUGACACGAAUCGGCCAUACAACUUGUGUUUCGGGUAUGUUUGUUUGAGUGCAUUCCUUCAUUUGAGAAAAAGGGUUUCCCCCGCUUUGUAUUCCAAAGCACCGUCGGCACGCGGGAGGGCACAACCUCCACCGUCAACGACGGUAACCGACCGGACACACUAGCAGGAGCCUACCAGGCCCAUGUGCCCACAGGCCCGGCCGGGAACUCCAUUCCCGGAAAGCUCCUGCCAUCGCGCUGCAGCAGGCACGCCAUCGACAUCGCCGCCCCCCAUCCGAGCCGCUCCUCCUCCUCACCACACAGACGACGACGAAGCCACGCCAGGGACAGGCCCGCUAGGACCCAGAUGGGGCCGGGAGGGCCCAGAUCUGGGCCGGGGACGCGCCGCCGGCCACCGCACGCCACCACGCCGCCCUGCUGCCAAUGGCAGCACCGCCACCGCGCCUACCGCCGGCGACCGCUGCCGGGUCGCCGGGCCGCCGCCCAGCUGAGCAUCACCGCCNNNNNNNNNNNNNNNNNNNNNNNNNNNNNNNNNNNNNNNNNNNNNNNNNNNNNNNNNNNNNNNNNNNNNNNNNNNNNNNNNNNNNNNNNNNNNNNNNNNNNNNNNNNNNNNNNNNNNNNNNNNNNNNNNNNNNNNNNNNNNNNNNNNNNNNNNNNNNNNNNNNNNNNNNNNNNNNNNNNNNNNNNNNNNNNNNNNNNNNNNNNNNNNNNNNNNNNNNNNNNNNNNNNNNNNNNNNNNNNNNNNNNNNNNNNNNNNNNNNNNNNNNNNNNNNNNNNNNNNNNNNNNNNNNNNNNNNNNNNNNNNNNNNNNNNNNNNNNNNNNNNNNNNNNNNNNNNNNNNNNNNNNNNNNNNNNNNNNNNNNNNNNNNNNNNNNNNNNNNNNNNNNNNNNNNNNNNNNNNNNNNNNNNNNNNNNNNNNNNNNNNNNNNNNNNNNNNNNNNNNNNNNNNNNNNNNNNNNNNNNNNNNNNNNNNNNNNNNNNNNNNNNNNNNNNNNNNNNNNNNNNNNNNNNNNNNNNNNNNNNNNNNNNNNNNNNNNNNNNNNNNNNNNNNNNNNNNNNNNNNNNNNNNNNNNNNNNNNNNNNNNNNNNNNNNNNNNNNNNNNNNNNNNNNNNGGCGCGCGAGCCGGCGGCCGGCGGCGGCGGCGGAACCCUAGCGGGAGGGAGCGGACGGGAGCCUGCAUUCCUUCAUUUGCCGUUAACUCUCCGUUAAACUUUACACGCCGGCUGGUCGACGCUCCAUGUCUGCAUGUGGGUCUCACCUGUCUGUGGCAAAGGAAGAAAAUACAAACAUAAAAGUACAGUGCACUUAGACGGAACCGAAGUAAUGCCGUCCAGGCGCAAGCAACUGCAUUAAUACAAAGUUCCAUAAAACAUAUUCUAUAAUUUACAUAUUUUGUUAGGAAAAUUGAUUUGAAUGCUUUGCACGGCGUUUAUUUUUUCCUGGUUUACCGGAAGUUUUGGUGAGCCCCAAAUGUUCUUGUAUCGUUCAUAAAAACAUUUGUUAAAAAUUUGAAAGGUCAUAUAUUGUCAAACUGAGCUCGUAUGCCUGCAUUUUCACAUAACAACUAUCGUCUAGUGUUACGGCACGCGAACUAUCACCUCGAUUAUCCACAUUGAUUCCCCUGUUUUCAAAAACUGAACAUUUUUUUAUGCGUUAUGCAAUGCUUAUAGAAAAUAGAGGAGGUGCCUUAGGGAUGCCUCAAACUCGCACCCUUCAUGUAAAAACUAGGCGAGCUGGCCGCUAUAAAAGGCAAAAAGUUUGUUAUAUAUGGUGUUUAGCAUGUUAUAAAACUCACAUAUUUUCCUAAAAGAGUAUUAGUACCACCUGGUUAAAAUAAACUCCUAAAAUACAGAGGCAUAAAUUCCCCAUCUUCCUUCUUUUUCCAAGCGGCAAGCUGCAAUUUAAUUGCUGAAAUUAACUCGUAGAUUCCUCUUAUGUUCUCUCUUUGCAAUUUUGCAAAGCAUAGUUUUCAGCUGCUCCACCAUGCAAUUACACAUGUAUUCGUUUUAAUUGAUUAUCAUAAUAAACACAAAAUAAAUUUUAAAACUUUCUAAAUUUCAAUCACAACUUAAAAAAUAUGAGCGUAAAUUUUAAACUAAUCUUAAUCCAAAUUUUAUUCUAGAAAAACUAGCAAAUUCUGACAACUUUCAACUCUCUUCAUCCUUCAUUUGUGACUUUGAUUAUCUUCUAGUCCUCGUCGUUUUGCCAUCCUUUCAUGUUCAGUGGAGAUUCCACUAGGAGGACAGUGAGUUGUUUCCUGAACCCGGGGAUGUCGUCCUGCGUAAUAGGUUGACUUGGUCUCACAGUUGACAAUGUGAAUGGUGUGGUUAAAAUAAGUGUGGACAUCGUAAUGCUGUGUAGGCUCCAUCUAGGUUGUCACAUGUGAACUUUUCCAUGUUCUUUACCGAAAAAGCUCACAUGACAUAUUGCAAUCAUAUGGAUUCUUAUAAAUAUUUUUACUAAGAAUACUAAAUUUGUGGUUUUAAAUGUUGUGUACAGUACCUAUCUUUUUGUUGUGUUAUAUUUUGAUAACUUGAACUGUCCAAGUAUUGAUGCCGAAAUCCGGCCAAGUAUCGACUUUUCGGCAACCAUGCCGAUAUGCUACUUCCAUAUGGAGUUGCAUGAGCUGUAAUAAGUUAAGAAGUAUAAGACAUAUAAUAUGAAAAUUAACUCUCGGUAUGUAUGUACUAAGCAUUGAAAAAACUUAUCAUGUUUUCUAGUUCCGGGUGGGCUUUCUUAAACUGUUUUGUUGUUGAUGGCAUCAAAUAUACAACUUGCACUGCCCUUUUUUUGGCAUUGACAAUCGCCAUGUACCUAUGCAUUUCUUCAUAUUCAUAGGAAGAGAAACCUGCAUUUAAGACAUAAUUAGUUUUGUACCAUUUAGAAAUUGACUUAGACUAGUGUGACUUACCAUAUCAUGGGAAAGGUACUUUUCGCCAUGAAUACUACCAUAUGUUUUGUUCUGUAGAUCACGGGUACAAUUUGGAAAGCUUCCUUCUCUGACUAGCACACCACUAACUGAUGCUCUCUCUAGAUAGAUCAUCCCGUCGGCCCGACAUCUGGAUUGGGGCGCAUGUGACGUACCCAUGUUAUGGCCGCAUCCAAGAUUUGAAUCGCAAAGCAGUAAGGAAUCAAAAUAGAAAAUAACAAUUUGUUAAUUAUUUAAGAAGUUAGCACAUAUCUUGCAUUACAGUCAUCCGUUCGUACUACUUUUAAAGCGUGGAGCUGUCAAGCAUCUAAGAUCAGCGCGAUAGAGAUGAAUUUCAUCCAUUUCUACCAACACUUUUGAAGACGGGGAUGUAUUGACAUAGUCAAUGACCUCUUCAACUAUCUUCUCAUCUGGAGCAUCAUCCGUUCCCAUUCUGGGAGUACUCACGUCUUUUGGAGUUAUCUUGCCUCAUUUAGUUCUCUUGGUUCAUCAAAAUAAACAUAAUCCUUGUUAUCUGUAAAAGUGGAUUUCCUUUUUCUCUUCUUCUCUCCCGUCACCGUAGACCCUCCUGUUGCCUGCGUGUCCGAGGGAGGAGUUUUUUUAAUAGUGACUCACAUAAUUAAUGUACUUACUUGAGCACCCUGCAAGUCAUAGGGAGGAGCUUGUAAAAUGAGAAAAAUAAAUCACAUGAUUAACAUAGUUACUAAAUUACAUCAAAGUCUGAGGCCAGGUGACGCCCACGAAGGGGCGAGGUAACAAAUUUGUCGCUGUUGUUGUACUCAUAUUCUGGUCGGCUCCAAUAGUCCUGCAUAGGUGUCUGGUUGUUAUUACUUUAUAUAUAGGAAGGAAAGAGUGAUUAAGUGCGUGUUUGGAUGGUAGGGUACUUACAUUGGCGUUCAGGUUGGCGUAUAGCCAGUUUCGUCAUAUCUGCAUUUUCAUUCUCUAGGUACCUGAAUUUAUGCGCGCAACAUUUUCCUUCUCUAGGUGUACAGAUUCGCGUACAAAUGUUGCGCAAAUUCAGGCACCUAGAGAAGGAAAAUGCAAAUACGAGGAAACUGGCUAUACGCCAACCUGAACGCCAAUGUAAGUACCCUAUCAUCCAAACACGCACUUAAUCACUCUUUCCUUCCUAUGUAUAAAAUAAUGACAACCAGGCACCUACUAUUGGAGCUGACCAAAAUAUGAGCACAACAACACUGACAAAUUUGUUACCUCGCCACUUCAUGGGCGUGACUUGACCUCAUACGUUGAUCUAAUAUAGUAACUAUGUUAAUUACGUGAGUUAUUUUUCUCAUUUUACAAGCUCCUCUCUACGACUUGCAGGCUGCUCCGGAUGACACCACUAGUGAGCAAAAGGAGUUUGACAAAGACGAUGCCCGAAAAUUAGAUGUAACUAAGUACAUUAAUUAUGUGAGUCACUAGUUCAAAAACAACUCCUCCCUCGGACACGCAGACAACAUGAGGGUAUACAGCGGGACAGAAGAAGAGAAAAAGGAAAUCCACUUUUGCAAAGAAUAAGGAUUUUGUUUAUUUUGAUGAACCCAACAGAACUAAAUGAGGCAAGAUAACUCGAAAAGACGUGAGUACUCCCAGAACGGGAAUGAAUGAUGCUCCAGAUGAGAAGAUAAUUAAAGAGGUCAUUGACUAUGUCAAUACAUCCCUGUCAUCGAAAGUGUUGGUAGAAAUUGAUGAAAUUCAUCUCUAUCGCGCUGAUAUUUAGAUGCUUGACAGCUCCAAACUUUAAAAGUAGUACCGAAGGAUGGCUGCAAUGCAAGGUAUGUGCUAACUUCUUAAAUAAUUAAAACAAAUUAUUUUCUAUUUAGAUUCCUUACUGCUUUGCAAUUUUGAUCUUGGAUGCACCCAUAACAUGGGUAUGUCACAUGCGCCCCAAUCCAGAUGUACAGGCCAACGGGAAGAUCUACCUAGAGAGAGCAUCACUUAGUGGUGUGCUAGUCAAAGAAGGAAGCGUUCCAACUUGUACCCGUGAUCUACAGAACAAAAUAUAUGCUAGUAUUCAUGGCGAAAAGUAUCUUUCCCAAGAUAUGGUAAGUCACACUAGUCUAAGUCAAUUUCUAAAUGGUACAAAACUAAUUGUGUCUAAAAUGCAGGUUUCUCUUCCUGUGAAUAUGAAGAAUAUGCAUUGAUGCGUGGCGGUUGUCAAUGCCAAAAAAGGGCAGUGCAAGUUCUGGAUUCAAUGCCAUUAACAACAAUACAGUUUAAGAAAGCUCAUCCGGAACUAGAAAACAUGGUACCUUUUUAUGCUUAGUACAUACAUACAGAGAGUUAAUAUUCCGGAAAUUCGAUAUGGCUCAUAUGAAUGCGGCAAUAGAGGUCUGGUCCUGGACGGCAUAGGAAGCAUUUUCUCCACCACAAGAUGAUUAGCAGUUGGACGUCCAUCACUCAAUUAAUAGAUGAUGUAACAAGUCGUUUCUUACAAGCCAACGCUCUCAUUUGCACGUCAUCACUUGCUGCUUUGGACUGUGUAGUAAUGACCGAGGCCCUGAAUCGGAAAAUUAAUUACCAAAGAAAUUUGGAGGUCUGAACAGUAAACACAAACUGCCGUGGCUGGAAACCUAGACACUUGUUCUCAGUUAAAGGAAUUUUUUCCUUUGUCCUUUUCUGCUUAUGAAGAAAUGUAGCAGUUUUAGCAACUUUUAGCCUUUUGCAAAUGAACUUUCGAAGUACUAAAUAAUAAAUAGGUAAGCCCUUUGCAGUUUUCAGUGUUAUACAUUCAUGUUUUCUUUUACUAGGAAGUGAGGUUCUAUUGAUGCUGGUGUUCUUUGUUUUUUAAUUAUGUGGUUGAUGCACUGAUGUAAUCUGUCUGAAUUUUGAAAUUUGUUUAUUAUUAUUAUAAAAACUGUACUGCACGUCUGCCCCAGUGUAAGACUCAAUAAAACAAAUAAUGGAGGAUACAACUCCUCAACAUUAAACCAGGUUAGGACAUGAAACAUCAUCCCUGAUACUAACUCAAAUUGCACGCUGGAAGUACUGCACUGUACUAGCAUUCAUAGUUCAUGGUGUACAAUACAUUUAAUAAAUAAUUCGCUGCUUCUGUCGGAACGCCGUUUCCGGAAGGUGGGCCUGCCACGCCCUGCCGCGCGGCUGUACAUACGGCAUGCAUACAGUUGCCACCUGAUAUACGGCAAUUUCCGCCGGUCGCACAUUUUUCAUUCAAUGCGCUUCCCACCCAGCGGUCCAGAUAAUAAUACCAUAUGCAAGUAUGACCCAUAUCUUCGCCCUUAAUAUUCAAAUUAUAUGUCUUAUACUUCUUAAUUAUUAUAGCUCAAAGGCAUGCAACUCCAUAUGGAAGUAGCUAAUCGGCAUGGUUGCCGAAAAGUCGAUACUUGGCAGGAUUUUGACAUCAACACUUGGACAGUUCAAGUUAUCAAAAGUAUAUCACAACAAAAAGAUGGGUACUGUACUGUAUACAACAUUUAAAACCACACAUUCAGUAUUCGUAGUAAAAAUAUUUACAACAAUCCAUAUGAUUGCAGCAUGUCAUGUGGGCUUUUUUGGCUAAAGAACAAGGAAAAGUUUACAGUUUCCAAUCUAGAUGGAACCUACACAGGAGUAAAUAGCAAAAAACUACCACAUUACGGGCUACGGCUAAGAAAAACUACCACUUUUUUUAUUUUUUAAAAAUGCUAUCACUAUUUUGGUUGGCUGUUCUAAAAAACACUAGUGAUAUAUAGUUAGUAUUUAAUCAUGUUUAUGACAGCUGGCCCCACCUAUAAACAGUAACCACUAACACUGUGAGCGUUGACUGUUAGAUUGGACCAGAGGAGGCCCACCUGCCAGCAUAUUUAUAUGUAUCUAACUAAAAAAAUACCAGCUGCCCACCUCGCGCCAGGCCGGCGAGCUGGAGCUUCGCCGCACGCCCGCAGUGCCACACCCCCCAGCUCUCCCUUCCUUGGCACCCCGCUCACCUGAGCACACCUGUGACGUGCCUGCUGCAGCGGUCAUCUUCGUCGCGGAGCCGCACCUCUCCUCUGUCCCGCGCGCAUGGCGUUGGCGGCCAUGCUCGGCCCUGUCCCGCUCCUGGAACUCUUCGAUGCGUGUCUUGAAGGUUGCCGCCAAGGUUAAACGACGAGCCCCAUGGGAAGAGACGCGGCUGUGCAUCUCCAACGCCCUAGCCGUGGCCUCCGCCCUCUUGGCGGCCAUGCUCGGCCCUGCACCGCGGCCUCGGCCCUUUCUCUAUAUUUUUCUCCACCGAGGCCAAAACCUGUCCCGCUCCUGGAACUCUUCGAUGCGUCGUUGCUUCGGCGGAGCUUGUCUCUAUAUUUUUCUCCUCUGUCCCGCGCGCAUGGCCGUCGUUUGUCGUUGAUGUGGCUGGAGACAACCACGAGCUUCAGCAUCAUGUGCAUCCGCCUCGCCCUGUCUCCCUCUCACUCCUGCUCCAUUAACUGAACAAGGGACACGCCAUAGCCGUCGGCAGCGACCUUGUUCUCCAACCUCGGUCAUGGCGCACCACCAUCAAAUUAGCCACCGGCAGACUCCUUCGGUCCUCAUCCUAGACACCAUCUGGUCCGCAGCGUCAACGCCGACCUCCUGGACAUCCCAGCGUCAAGCUCCGCCUCCUCCUGCGCCCUCGCCGACAAGCUCCGAGCCCCGGUGGUCGUCGUUGUUUCUCAACUCGCCGUUCCAUGCUAACUCGCCUUGUCCGAGCACGCGCACCGGCUUGUGGUGUGUCUUCUCUGGUCCGCUCGCAACCCGUAGCGCUGCAGCCUUCAAGCACAUCACGGCGUCUGCAGCAGGAGGCCGACGCCGAGCCCCUCAAGGUGCCAGCACGCACGGGCACCGGAAGCCCGGGUCCGAGCUCGCGGGCACGCUGCCCGCCGCCGCCCUUGCCCCAGUUGGCCGUUGCCGAGAGGAAGCCGUCAGCCUUCCAUGGAUCACGAUUCAUGAGAGCCGCCGGGGAGGAGACGGGCGCCGCGACCCAGAUCCCGUGUCGUGCUGACUUAACGGCUUGACUAGUGGAGAUGACUUUUUUUUUGCCACGUGGCACUGAUGUGUGGGACCUCCCUGUCAUAAUUAUGAUUAAAUUUUAACUAUACAGUCACUAGUGUGUUUUGGAACAGCCAACCAAAAUAGUGGUAGCAUUUUGAAAAAUUAAAAAAAAUGGUAGUUUUUCGUAACCAUAGCCCGUAAUGUGGUAGUUUUUUGCUAUUUACUCCCUACACAGCAGUACAAUGUCCACACUUAUUUUAACCACACCAUUCUCAUUGUUACAGUUGUGAGACUAAAUCAACCUAUUAUGCAGGACAACAUCCCUGGGUUCAGGAAACAACUCACUGCCCUCCUAGUGGAGUCUCCACUGAACAUGAAAAGGACGGCGAAACGAUGAGGACUAGAAGAGAGUCAAAGUCAUGAAUGAAGGAUGAAGAGAGUUGAAAGUUGUCAGAAUUUGCUAGUUUUUCUAGAAUAAAACUUGGAUUAAGAUUCGUUCAAACUUUACGCUCAUACUUUUUAAGUUGUGAUUGAACUUUAGAAAGUUUUACAAUUUAUUUUGUGUUUCUUAUGAGAAUCAAUUGAAAUAAAUACGUGCUUAAUUGCAUGGUGGAGCAGCUAAAAACUAUGCUUUGCAAAAUUGCAAAGAGAGAAGAUAAGAGGAAUCUACGAGUUAAUUUCAGCAAUUAAAUUGCAAGUUGCCCCUUGGAAAAAACAAGGAACAUGGGGAAUUUAUGCCUCUGUUUUUUAGGAGUUUAUUCUAACCAGGUGGUACUAAUACUAUUUAAGGAAGAUAUGUGAGUAUUAUAACAUACUAAACAUCAUAUAUAACAAACUUUGUGCCUUGUUAUAGCGGCCAGCUCGCCUACUUUUUAUAAGCAUCCCUAAUGCACCUCCUUUAUUUUUUUAUAAGCAUUGCAUAACACGUAAAAAAAAA